GAUACAUGAUAUGGUGAAAUCACAUUUAUAUUCUAUGAAAUAGAAAUCAAAAUAGAGUAGUAUUUUAUAAAAGGGUGAUGGAAAUGCUGCUAAUUUAGGUGAUUAUAAGAAUGACAGAUGGAUGCCUUUUAGGUAAUUACUAUGACAAUGUUGAUACUUUUACAAAAAGGCUUAGAGAAUACAUACUAGAAAACAUGGUUAAGUUGCACAAUCUUCAUUUAUUUUAACUCUUAUGGCUUUCAGUUUCCUCAUGUGAAUCUCACUUAACAUUCAAAGGAUGAUAAACAAAAGGGAACAGUAAAAGAUCAUCUUUUCUUCUCACUGUAAUUCCGAAUUGCUCUGUCAUGUCUAGUUCUUCACUUUUGAUUCCAAUUGGUAGCUUCCAGUCAAAAUGAUACAACAACAUUGCAAGGGUAAGGUCAAUAUUUCUCAAACCAAAUGUGCUCCCUGGGCAUAUUCUUCUUCCAGCACCAAAAGGAAUGUACUCAAAAUUUCAAUUGGUAGCUUCCAGUCAAAAUGAUACAACAACAUUGCAAGGGUAAGGUCAAUAUUUCUCAAACCAAAUGUGCUCCCUGGGCAUAUUCUUCUUCCAGCACCAAAAGGAAUGUACUCAAAAUUACUACCUUUAUAGUCAAUAGUUCUGUCAAUGAAUCUCUCUGGAUAAAACCUCUCUGGCUCAGUCCAGUAGUUUGGAUCUCUUGCAAUUGUCCAAGCAUUGAUAAUAACCUUACUCUUUAUCGGUAUGUGAAAGCCGUUUAUCUCACAUGCUUGACCACAUUCUCUUGGUAGCAAAAGAGGUGCUGGAGGGUGUAGCCUUAAUGUUUCCUUGACUACUGAUUUCAAAUAAUUUAGUUCAUUGAGGCAAUUUUCAUCAACCCUACCUUUCAUUUUGAAGACCUCUCUCACCUCAUCUUGUGCUUUCUUCAUUAUUCUUGGAUCCCUUAUCAUUUCUGCCAUUGCCCAAUCUAUGGUGCUUGCAGAUGUCUCGCCUCCAGCACCGAAAACGUCCUGAAAAGUAGCCAUCGAUAAAGUCAAGCUAACCCAAGAAUUUUAAAGUUAAUCCAAUGCUACAAAGUAGAGAAAUCAUUUAGAAAAUAUUUCAUAUGGAGAUAUAAGAUGUGAGCAUGCUUUAAAUAUUCACUUACAAGGAUUAUAGCCUUGAUGUUGUUUUUUGUUAAGGAAAAAUCCUUGUUGCUAUAAUCCUCAUAUUUUAAGAGAACGUCUACCAGAUCUUCUUCUACUUCACCUUGUUCAUCUUUGGCUUUUGUGUACUUUUCUCCUUUAUGCUCAUUGAUAAUGUUUUCAAAUAUCUGAUCAGUUUGUCGAUGAUACCUCUCAAGCUUAGGCCUCAACCCAGUAACAUGUUGAAGCCAUUUAGCAGAAGGAAACAAAUCUCCCAGGUCAAAACCUGCUGCAACCUUUAUCAAUUCUUUUACCACUGAUAUAAAUUCUUCUUGGUCUUUGCAUUUAUUGCCAAAGGCGGCCCUCGAAACAAUAGUGUAUAUUGAAGAAAUUACAGCUUCAGUUAAAUUGAUUGGCGAACCAUCCUGCGAAGCAAUCCAUUUGACAAGGUUGGAAAGCACAUCUUCUCUAAUUGAUUGGUACGAAUUUACUCUUUUUAGGCUUAAAAGUUCCAAUGUGCAUAUUUUUCGUAAUUCUCUCCAAUAACUACCAUACGGAGCAAAAGCUAUAUUUGUGGAAUUGUAAGACAUUAUUUCUGAAGCUAGGAGACAAGGCCUUGACGCAAAGUUAAUAUCAUGGGUUUUCAUUACCUCUUUGGCACAUACGGGCGAUGAAAUCACAAUAGUCGAAACCUCUCCAAGUUGAAGAUGCAUCACAGGUCCAUAUAUUUUGGCCAAAUCUCUUAAUUUCCGAUGGGGUUGAGAGCUUAACAGAUUAUAUAUAUUUCCUAUAACAGGUAGCUUUCUAGGUCCUGGUGGUAUGUUAUAAAUUGAAUAACCUUUCUUGUUUCUCAUCUUUUGAACCAUAAAGGUUAAGAGGACAAAGGAGAAAAGAUAUGCAGAGUAGAGGAAUAAUAGAGCCAUGGCAAAUAAACUUAGUAUGACUCAUAUCCUACCAGCUGGUGUAUAUAUAGGGAGGCUCUAUGGUACAUUAUUCCUGUUUUCUGAAUUUUUUUAUUUUAAGAUAUUUAAACAUGGAUGUAGAAAACUUGGAUUUUUGAACUCUCUUUUUAUAAGUUGUGAAACUUUUAAUAUGUUGGCUCCACUCUGCACACAUUAUUUUAGACCCUUAAAUAUGUUGGCUCCACUCUCCACACAUUAUUUUAGACCCUUAAAUAUGUUGGCUCCACCAUGAACACAUUAUUGAGUACUUUACCAAACCAUAGGGUGCUUGUACAUUUCUUGUUUCGUUUUAUGCCCUAUGAUCAUCUUCACUUUGUCCUAUGUUUCAUAUAAUUUAUUUUUUACUAUAUUAUUCUUAACAGUAAAUUAUAUGAUCUUUGAUAUAACAUGAUAAAAGUUGAUCCAUAUAGCCGACCAUAUUUAGUGGGAUAAAGCUCGGAUGCUAUUGUUCUUGUAAUAGUAAAUUAUAUUCGUGCUUUUAGCUCAAAGGUUCAUUAGGUUAGAAUAGUCUACAUAAAAAAAAUAGUGCUUGUGCAUUAUUCAUAUUUGAAAUAUAUUAUUUAUCAAUUUUUAAAUGGUAUCAGAGCUCUCGAUUUUGAAGGCCUCCUACCGUUUAAACUUUAGUCGCCGUCAUUGCGGUUUCCUUUGUUUUUCAGCUUUUAUUGUGGCACUAUCUUUUGUCCGUCUUCGUUGCGGUUUAUUUUAUCUCUCCACCUUAAUUGCAGGUUUUUUGAUAUCUAGAAAACACUUUUCAUCAGGAAACAUUGUUUACUUUGGGCACUGUUGAUCAAUUUUUUUCAAAUAAAAAAUCAAUGGAAACUUGCAAGUUGCUUUACUAUUGUUUGCUAGUCUAUUUUAGUUUAUUGAGACAGAGUUGCAUGACAUCCAUCAAUAAAUUGUUUAUCUUCUAUUAUCGUUGCCUCCAAAACUCCUAUCAAAAUCAUACCCCAUGACGUGCUUACUCCAUGAAUCUCACUUCCAAAAUACUUGGGUGUACUUUGUUUUUUCAUAUGCGUUUUGAUGGUAGAGGAAAACUUAAUCUUAAAAUAUCAAAAUGCAUCUCUAUAGGAUAUUCUUCCACCCAAUAUGGGCACAAAUCUUAUUGUUCUCCAUCUCUUAAAUUAGUUGUCUCUCUAGAUUUCACCUUCCAUAAACAAGAAAGUUUCUUCCUUCAAUCUCAUCAUAGGGGGAAAUGAAAGUAAAGAAGAUGAGUUUCUUCUACUUUCUGAUCUUACUCUCAGACCAAAAAUUAAAACUCAAAUUAGUGGUAACAAAGUUGAGACUGAUCUUAUUCUCAAACCAAAAGUUAAAACUCAAAUUAGUGGUAACAAAGUUGAGACUGAAAUUGAUUCAAUAAAUAGAAAUGUUGAAAUUGAUGUAAAAUAUGGGAACAAUUUAGUAUAUAUAAGAAAUAAGAUCAUUCCUAAAUCUCCUCAUAUUCAAAAGUCCACUCCGAGAUUAUAUGAGGUAACUUUCCUUGACCUUUCAAGCUCUAGUGAUUCAUCUUUGAAUUUUCUCGCAAAUAGGAACCAUAAUCCAGCUCACUAUCACCACCUCACUAUAAAUACUUAUAUCUUCCAAUUACCUUUGAUACCAGAACAUGUACCAAAAUGUCGCUUUACCCUUUAUCUAGCUAGCUAAAUUUUGAACAUUUUUCCCACCCAUAUAACUUUCCUCGCAAGUCUAAACAUUAUAACUAUACCUCUUCACCUAAGGAAUUAUCUAAUAGAAAAUGCAAACAAUCCCUGGACUUAUACGAAUAGCACUUGGGAAUUCGUUUAUUUACUAAAUAAAAAGAAACAUGCAAAGUGAAAAUGGAUAUACACUAUAAAGUACAAGACUUGUGGAUAUAUUAAGAGAUAUAAGACAAAAUUGAUUGCCAAAGGAUACACUCAAACUUAUAAAGUAGAUUACUGAGACACAUCCACUCUAAUUUAAAUUUACACCAAUUUGAUGUGAAAAGUGUCUUCUUUCAUGUAGAAAUUUAAGAAAAGAUCUACGUUGAUGUACUCUUAAACAUACUGCCACUAACGUUAUGUGCAAGUUUACAAAAAGAUUUAAAUGAUUUAAAAUAAUCACCACAAACAUCGAUUGGAAAAUUCAUCAAAAUUAUGGUAGGUUUAGACUUCUAACAAAGUUAAAGAGAUCUUACUCUAUUUGUCAAGUAUCCUGAGAGACAAAAGAGUAACAGUAUUGCUGAUUGAAGAAUUUAUGCUUUUACAAAAUUAAAUUUCUGCCCAAAAUUAAAUUUUAAAAACUUGGAUAUUUGAAACUAGACUAAAGGGUCCUAUUUAUAUUGAUCAAAUUUGUACUGGGGUGUCACAAAUCAUGUAGGAGAUGGUGGAGAUAAUGUGAAAAUUGAAUUGUUGAGUAUGGAAACGUGUCGUGAAAUUUUGAGCUUUAACACCAUGACGGGCUUCAUGGUGCUGACGCCUUGUCCGUCAUGAGUCAGGGGAGGAUGACGUGCGUCAUCGAGAUGACGACCCACCCGUCAUCCAGUUGGCGCACAAAUUUUUUAGUUUUUGUCCUUUAGCAGUGAUGGUCUUGUACUUGCCACGUCAUGACGGGCGUCAUGCUGGUAGUGGACCCAUCAUGACAAUGCAUAAUGCCUAUUUCGCUCCCUUUUUGUCGUUUCACAUCAUUUUCUCGCGCUGACACUCCUACAAGUAAAGUACCUGAAACAUACACCAAAUAUAAAUAGAAAACCAUAAAAAGGAAUAUAAAAUGACAUAAAUUAAUAUGUGAAUCGAGUAAAAAAUAUAAUAUUUUUCUGAGUUAUCAAUGUAUGUGAGCUAUAUUAUACUGAGAGAGCAACAAUUGUUAAACGAACACUUAAUUAAGGAAUUUGAGAUUAAAUCUUUGCACAAAUCAAACUAUUUUAUGUGAAUUGAAACUGAUUACCCUAUAAAAGAAAUCUUCAUACAUUAUUGAUCUUCUCAAAAAGCAAGACACUAAAUGUAAAGUUGAGGAGAAAAAAAAUUUUGUGGUUAAUAAGAAAAUGUUGUUUUCGUUGUUUUAUCAAAAAUAAAAAGUUACUUUUGUUGUAACCUUAGUCAACAAAUUCAUGUACCAACUAAAAUAGAUUGCCACUUCUAGAGAUAAAAAGAAUAACAAGAACCAAAAAAUAAAAUAAAUAAUAUUUGCAAAAACUAAAAGAAAAAAAAAUAAUUAUAAAAACAAAAACAAAAACUAUAUAUAUAUAUAUAUAUAUANUAUAUAUAUAUAUAUAUUUUGUAGGGACAAUUAUAUAUUUAAGUCAUUAUACUAUUACUAACAUGUAGCCUAACUAAAAAAAUAUUUAUAAUAUGCUGUAAGCAUCAUUUUUUUAAUAAUCAAAUAUAACCUUUUAUUUCUUUUGUGUUUUGAUUAAGUUGGGAUUUGUCUUUUUGUUAUUAUAUUUUGAAUUUUUUAUCAAAAUAUCCCUAAUUUUCAAAAAAAAAAUCCAAAAUAAUUUUGUUUUCAAAAAAAAUCCUAAACUAUCUCACUUUUAGGAGGAGGCGUCAAUCCAAUUGGCGUCUCCUCUUAAAAUUAGAGUGGAGACGUCAAUUGGAUUGACUAUGGUACAUGGUGUAGCCAUUUCAAUUGGCGCUCAUGUGUAUGUUUUGAAAGGAGACGUCAAUUGGAUUGACACCUCAAUGUAUUUUGUAAAUUUUUUUUGUUAUAAAUAGAGGUGUUGUGUGAAUCAUUUUUCCACAUCUCAUUUCAUCAUUUUGCAAUCAUGUUUGGUGUUCGUCGCCGCUAUGGAAAAGUGGUUUAUUCGAGAGACAAACCUCUGAUGUUGAUGCUCUUCUGGAACAUCACUACUUUUGAUCAACUGAAGAGAGAGCUGGUUCGUUGGUUAGAUGGGAAAAUACCAGAAGGGAAAAUAAUUAGAAGUAUUGAGAGACUCGACAGUAUCUUUGGUUGGGUGCGAAUGAAAAUUGAUAAGGAUGCAGGAUGCUAGGGAAAUGAUGUUCGGACGAGAUGACAUCACUUUGAUUGUUGUAAUCAGUUAGAAAUAUUAUGUUUUCAGUUUGCUUAUGUUGUAGUGAUGUUUGUUGUGAACCUCGUUGUAACAAAAUCACUUUGAUUGUUGUAAUCAGUUAGAAAUAUUAUGUUUUCAGUUUGCUUAUGUUGUAGUGAUGUUUGUUGUGAACCUCGUUGUAACAAAAACUUAAUGAUAUAUAAAAAUUGAAGGUUACAAAAAUCUAAUGUUACAAAAAGAUUAUGACUCAGAUGAUGCUUCUCGAUUGGGACAGUUAUUCUUAUUGUGUCCUGGUUGACGAUAGAUACUAUAUAGUCUUAUCAUUUUAUCUGUCGUAUCCAUUUCUGUCCUGAUACGUGUGUUGUUUGACCGUUCUUUUUUCUUUCUACGCAUCUCGUCGUUGUGCCAAACUAUGUCACCUUCAUAUGGAGGCAAGUAUUCCUCCAUUGGUAGCACCGAGAAGCUUUUAUUAUAGACAUUCAUGACAGUGAUGGCCUUGUAAACAUCAUAUAGAUGGUUGUAAGCGUCAUGGCGAGUAUGUGCGCAUGCUGCAAUGACAUGGGAGAAAGGAAUGCGGAAGGCCUGAAAUUUUCCACAGUCGCACCAACUUCUGUUUAGUUUGACAACAUAAGCUAAAUUUGGUCUCCCCUUAUUGUGGUCCAUUAUUUCCUGCACGCUGAAAUUUUGCCUAUGACGGUCAAAGACUGUUACAGCGUGUGUGCUAGCUUUGAUGCUCUCCUCUUUCAUGACUUUCAUGCAACACUCACUGAAUAUUUUCCUAGACAUUAACACUGCACUCCAUCUUCCACCUCUGGUUGCGAAGGUAGAAGCCAACCUAUAAUAGGUUUAUCUGCCCAAGGUGGUUAUUGGCAGAUUUUUAAUGCCUUUGAAUACGUCGUUCAUGUAUUCCACAAGGUUUGUUGUCAUGUGGCCCCAUCGACAACCUCCGUCAAAUGCCAUUGUCCACUGCUUUACUGGUAUGUUAUUCAGCCAUCUUCCUGCAUCUUCAUUAGAUAGUCUAAUUUCAUCACGGUAAUAUUGAAAUGACGGCUGAGUUAGAGCAUACCCAGCAUUCACCACUUUCUUGUGAAGGUUCUUAUCUUUUAUUACACGCAUGAAGUUUUGUGCAAUAUGUCUAAUGCAAUAGACAUGGGUAGAAGGAGGAUCAUGUCAUCCGUUGUCAUGGUUAUUGUAAGCACUCUCAAUGGCAGCAUGUCUAUCAGAAAUCAAACAGAGAUUGGCUCGUGGAGCCACAUGCGUUCUGAGAUGUCGAAGAAAGAAACCCCAACCACCAGUAGUUUCACCUUCAACCAGAGCAAAGGAAAUGGGAAAGACAUUGUUGUUGUCGUCUUGUGCAACCGCCAUAAGCAAAGUACCCUUGUAUUUUUCGUAUAACCAUGUUCCAUCAAUUUGAAUAAUAGGUUUGCUGAAUGCAAAACCUUUGAUGCAUGGGUCAAACGCCCAAAAGAGACGGUGAAAGAUUAUAUUACCAGUAACACAUGUUCCGUCUAGCGUCAUUGCUGGUAAUGUCUCCAUAAUUGCAACAGUUCCUGGCACAUAUGUUUUUAGUGCCCACAAAAACCGUGGCAAUUCUUUGUAUGAAUCCUCCCAAUUGCCGAAUACCUGUUCAACAACCUUUGUCCUCGCAAUCCAUGCUUUCUUGUAAGAUGGAGUAUAAUUAUAUCUUAUUUUGAUAUGAGAUAUAAUUAUACUCACCUUCAUUGAUGGGUAUUUGUUAACAAGCGGCAAAAUGUCUUGACAUAUCAAUGCAGCGCUUAAUUUACGGUGAUCUUGUUCAACGUUAGUUGCAAUGCAACUGUGAGGUGGGUCUAUUGAAGCUAUCUCCCAAGAGUCGCUUUUCUUUUUGUAAUAUGCAGCCAACCGAAACUUACAAAGGAUGUUACGGCAUUCGGUGACAUACCUUCUCGAAUCAGUGUGUUUCACUAUGAAAUCAGCAGAGUUGUUCAUGUGGAAUUUUUUGAUAGCUCACACGCAUUCUUCUUUAGUGCGGAACAUGUAUCCCACCUUUAACUCACCUUCUGAUCACGGAUACGGGUUAUAAAAAACACUGUUGGAUGUUUCAUCGUCAUGUAGAUCCAUGUUUGUCAUAUGUUGAGGUGGAUUAUAGACAUGACUAGGAGGUAAUAGCGUUGGUUGAUCAUCAUCUUCAAUGUCGUUGUUCAACAUAUGAUCGACCUGUAUCUCGGUCUCUUCUUCUUCAUUAUCAACGACAUUGACUUCUGCUUCUGCUUAUGGGUCGACGCCAUCUGAGUAUUGUGAAUCAAAUUCAUCAGAUUCAUCCUAACUAGUUAUUUGAGAUUGCUGAAAUGGUAUACUUGGUUGAAGAGUAAUAUACAACUCAAUACAAUUGCAUCCAGAAUGUUCGUGACUAACAAACAUGUAUUCAACAUCUUCAUCAUCCCGUACCUUUAGCGGGAAAAACUUGCAUUGACUGUUCUAAAAAAAAACGGAUUUUGAUACGUGAUCUUUGACAUAAUACCAGAUCCUAUGCAGGAUUGAAUUCAUUUUUUCAAAUGCAAGAAAUUUGCAUUUCUCUUGAUCGUAAGUCGAAUGGUAUCGGUGUUUCUAAAACAAAACCCAUAUAACUCAGACUCGUAUGUCUCACCAUUGCAAUGAACAUUGACACUAUAUUUCAGUGAAGAUGACAUUGUAAUAUUUCUGGUGGAGAUGAAAAUUAAUUUCUUAUUGCAGAUGAAUGUGUGUUGAUUGUUGGAUGUUGAUAGUAAGACACUUAAAUAGGUAAGUGAUUUGUCAAACAUGCAAGCAAGUCCGAAGUGAUGUGUCUAACAUGCAAGCUAGUCCGAAGGGAUGUGUCAAACAUGCAACCUAGACGGAAGUGAUGUGUCCAGCAUGCAAGAGAGAGGAAAGCCACGUGUCACACAUGCAAACACUAGCUCCAAAUGAAUUAGCGCCUCCUUACAAUCCUUGCACAUGGGCGUCAAUCCAUUUGGCGACACCAUGUCUUACAUGCAUGCAGACCUCGUAACCAAGCAUGCAGAGCUAGGUGUGUCAUGCAUGAGCCUAGGGAGGCGCCAAUUUGAAUGGAGAUACCAUGUAAAAAAAUGCACAUGGGCGCCAAUUCAUUUGGCUACCACAUGCAAACACAUUUUUCCAAGCUUCCACACUUUUGCCUAUAAAUAGGAAGGUAACUCUAACAUUUCUUCCACACCAUCACUCACUACUUCCUCUACAACAUCAAAUUUUUCAUUUGCAACAACCUCUUUCAUCUUCGACAAGAUGUCUAUCCUCACAAUGGGCGAAUCACACAAAGGAACAGUUGCAAACAUAGCAACUUAUGUCAGCGUUUAAUUCUUUUGUUAUUUGUCUAGAGUACCUUUUAAUAACAUAUCAACUUAGUAAAGAAUUUUUUUGUUUCUUUUAUAGGAUGUUUCAAGGUUCUGUACUCGGGUCCACGAAUAUAUCCACAUGGACCCGAUGAUUCAACUGUAUGUCAAACUCGCCAGUUUUGGACAUAUAAGCAAAAUUAUGUCUUGAUCGGUGGAUAAUAAAUUCAUUAUUGCAUUAUGUGAAAGAUGGCAUCCCGAGACACACACAUUCUGGUUUCCAACCGGUGAGUGUACCGUGAUGUUAGAAGACGUCUACAUGCUAUUGGGACUGCCUAUUGAAGGUAAAGUUGUAAAUGGUAAAACUAACUAGGCGAAUUCAAUUUGCAUGGACCUCUUGGAUACUGAUUUGUUAGAUGAUAACUCAAGAGGUCAAGGUAUACUCCUUUCACGUCUUAAGUCAUAUUAUAACAGUUUACAUUUAGAUGAGCAUUCUACCGAAGAGGCUCGAAUAAUAAAAACUAGGUAUUACAUUAUGCUUUUAAUUGGUUCUUUUUUAUUUCCUGAAGGUAGUGGUUCUAGUAUGCAUGUUAUGUAUUUACCUUUACUAAGACAUGUAGAUAGAAUAGGAAGUUAUAGUUGGGGAUCCGCUUGUCUGGUCUAUCUUUAAAGCUCUUUGUGUAAAAAUUCACACAAAGACACAUCUACCUUUUCUGGAUGUGCUGUUUUGCUCCAAGCAUGGAGUUGGUCAAGACUACCGUCCCUAAUGCCCGUCAACAACAACCCUUUCACAUUCCUAUAUGCACAAAAGUAAGUUGUUUAAAAUGUUAUAUAUUUACUUACUUUAACGAUUAUUAUCUCUAACUAAUAUUUUUACCUUUAUGGUGCAGAUGGUCGACACGUGGUAUGAGUUAUAACAUAUGUCCUAGACACUGUAUUAUCCAGUAUUGCAAUCUCUUGGAUCACCUUCUACCGACAGAUGUAUGAAUAAUAACCGCAUUAUUUCGUUAUAAUUUGUUAACUUCUUCUACCAAGUUUAAAAUCUAACUUACUUUCACAUUUCAAUUCAUUUGGCGUCCAUACCUAAAUUUGGAUCAUGACCGUGAAAUCAACGAAGAAGACGCAGCCGUAUGGACUGCAUGCACACCGAUCAUAAGAUUCACAACUGGAGAUGCACAACAGUGAUCAUGUGAAGUUGCAGUUCGGUAUGCUUCAACACAUCCCGGAUCCCCCAACAAACCUAGGAGAAUGGCAUUUGCGCAAAGUUAACGACCAAUGGAACUUCAAUCCAUGGAAAAUCUUCGCUAGAUUUGAGUGUCGCAAAUGGAAGCACCGUCAUGACCAUGUCUUAACUGACGUAGUGAUGCCAAAUGAAGAAAAACCAAGUUGUACUUAUAUGGCUUAGUACAGAUCGGUUGGUUUUGAGUUCAUCGCCGAGGAUAUGUACCUAUACGACCCACGCCAACAAACUUACACACCAGACGCCUCAACAUCUAACCCCCAACAACAUUGUCAGACCGGCUACACACAACCCCCUAUUCGUCAAACUUUUCGUUCCACAAACACACAAACAUACAACCCUAACAUGCCAUACACCUAACCACAAUACCAAGAGCAGACCCCAUACCACCACCAACAAAUAGAUCAUCAACCAGAGACCUAACAUCGCUUCACACCCAACACAUCACCCUACCAAAGUCGCCUUAGCCAGAACACUCAACGAUCAUUUAACAUCAAUUGUCCCUCCUCCUACCGUAGCCAAGAAGUACAAACCUCACAAAACCGAAACCUUCAACAACCCUAUCUCUACUAAACACCACAACAAUCUUUCCAACCUUUCCUCGACGCAUCAUUCACACCAAUGUCUCCCUUCAACCGUUUCGGUCUCCCACCAACAAGUCAAACACAACCCAACUACUCUGGCAUGGGUCAUGAACUCAGCUAUGGCGGUACACCUUCGUUGCAUACUUAAGACUACGCUGAUUUGUCUGACUAUCUCAACAGGAAAUCUCUUGCAGUUGGUAGGGAUGUUCCUGGGUCCUCAGAUGCUCAAACACUAGUGGUGAAUCAUCAACGUGGGUUAGGGCCACGAGUUCGGGUAGCUAGGGGAUGUGGGACUAGAGGUCGGUUAGGUGAUCCCGGUCAUCAACAUUAGUCUUUUUGUGUAAACAGGAAUUUAUAUUAAUAUAAAUUGGUCCGAUUUCGAAAUUAUGUAUCACGUAGACUGUUUUUGAAAAAAAAUUACAAAAUACAUUGAGAUGUCAAACCAAUUGGCACCUCCUUUCAAACCAUACACAUGGGCGCCAAUUAAAUUGGCUGCACCAUGUGCCUUAACCAAUCCAAUUGGCGCCUCCACUCUAAUUCUAAGAAAAGACGUCAAUUGGAUUGACACUUCCUCCUAAAAAUGGGGUAGUUUGAACUUUUUUUUUGAAAAACUGUAUUAUUUUAAUAAAAAAUUCUUAUAUUUUCUAGGUCAAGUUGUUAAUCCUAAGUUGUUAAUCCUCUUCACGGCUCACAUUUAGACACAAAAUUUGUCAAAAUGUGUCAUGACUUACAUCAAUAGUAAAGUUUACCACAAUUUAAUUUUUGUGUAGCCUUUUUUUGAGUGUGACAAAAAGUGAAAGGUAAGAGGUAGCAAUAAAAGAUCAUCUUUUCUUCUAAUUGUGCAUCCAAAUUCCUCAUACCUUUCAUGUCCAAUUCUUCAAUUUUGAUUCAACUGUGAAGCUUCCGGUCAAAAUAAUAAUGCAAUCACUAGUUCAAGAUUCCUUCCGUUCUCCUUUUUAAAUCCCAUUUUUUAAAAAAGUAAUUUUUAUUUUUUAAUUAUCAUUUGCAAAUAGAUAAUUAUUACAAAAAAAAAUAAGAUAAACUAAAUAUAAUAAAUAAUUAAAUAUAUUAUAGAUAAAAAAAAGAAUUAUAAUUUAAAAAUAACAAUAAUGAUUAAGUUUAUUGAUAUAUAUAUAUAUAGAAAGUUAAAAAUAUAACAUUUAAAAAGUAACGGUGAAAAUAUUUCUCAAUACAAUAUUCAUCAUUGGCCUAUUCUCCUUCAGCACCAAUAAAUUUACUUAAUUUUUUUUUAUAGUUAGCAAAUAGUAAAAUCAGAUUGGAUAUUAAUUUAAUGUAAAUAUGAGUUUAAAAUUCUAAAGUUUAAUCAAAAGUCGAUAUUGAACCACUAAUAAUAUAACAGAUAAAUAUUAGAUAAAUAAUAUGUCAGUAUUAUAUAAUUAAUUUGUUACUACUAUAAAAAGUAUUAUUACUAUAAUUAUUAUUAUAUUAUUGAAUAUUUACUGUGUGGGAUUUAAAAAAUUUCAAAAAAUGAGACUUACUAGGCCAAAAAAUAAGAUGUACAAAACCUAAAAGGCCAAAUUUUUAACAUUAAAACCCUAAGAACUAAUAUAAAGAUUUAACAAUUGUUUUCUAAAUUUCAUAAAAUUCGGGUGAAUAUAUUGAAAAUUCAAUUUUGUGCAUCCUAUUUUCAGAUAUGUAUCUUCAGACGCAUUCAAUACAUAUAAAAAAUAUGUUGUAAGUGAGACACUACUAUUUUACCAAAAAAUAAUUUGGGAAUGCAUCUCCGGAAUAUUUCGGAGAUGAACUUCUGAUUUUGAAAUAGGGAAGACUCAAAUGUUGGUGUUGAUAUCUUUUGGAUAUAUCCUGAUUUAGUGAAGUUGUUGAAUAUAUUUCACUUGGUGUUGAUUUUUUAUUCUACAUACAAGACAAAUAGGUAAUGUGAAUCGUGAUCAUACAUUGAUAUUAUUUCGACAUACUUUAAUUUAUCAGUUUUUUAUUAUUAUUUGCAUCGUGACCAUACAGGUAGCGAUUACCACUGCUUGAAAUUGUUGGUGUUACGUCAACAAAAUUGAUGCUUUCGGUAGGCUUUUUCUAUUUGGAGUAUGAAAGGGAAGAAAACUUCAAAUGGGCACUGGAGAAGCUCAAAGAGUUGUUCUCUUCAGAGAAAUUGCUACCUAAUAUUGUGGUGACAGACUAAAAACUUGUAUUGAUGAAUGCAAUUGAAGUUGUGUUUCCAAAUUCAACUCAUUUGUUAUGUUCAUCCCAUAUUUCAGAAAACGUUAGCAUGAAAUGUAAAGAGUAUGUUAAAGCAGAAAGACAUGAGCAUGUCAUGGAUCUAUGGAACAACAUCAUGUAUGAUAAUAGAGAAAUUGAGUGUGUCGCACACUUAGAGCAUUUUGAGAAUAUUUGUGUUGAUAUUUCUUUGUUUGUUAAGUAUGUGAUUGAAACAUUGUUGACACCUUAUAAAGAAAGGUUUGUUGUUGCUUGGACUAACAGAGUCACUCAUUUAGGGAAGGAACUAGAAAUGGUAAAAUUUAUUGGUACAAGCAAAAAUGCUUGUGGUUGCUUCAUUAGAACAACACAUGGGUUACCUUAUGCGUGUCGACUUGUUGAUUGCCAAAUACAAGGCAAACUUGUUCUUUUAGAUCCAAUUCAUGUUUUUUGGAAGAAAUUACACAUUGAAGAGCAUGGUGUCAAUCAUGAAGAUAUUGGUACAAAGUUGGAUUUAGAAGCAGAGUGUGAAGAGUUGAAGACAUAUUUCAAUUCUUUGGAUAUUGUAGGUCAGAGGGUGUUGAAGAAAAAGGUUACUAACACAUCCAUCCACAACUUUGAUAUGUCUAUCACCGGUGUAGUACAAGCUAGAGAGGGGAGUUAAGAAGAUAGAAAGAGUGAAAAUAGUGAUGUGCAUCAUGAUCCUUCACAGUGGGAGUAUGGUGAGGGCUCGCAAGGGAGUCAGACUACAAAGAGAUCAUGCAUGAAACCAACAGGAAGUCAACAGUCAAGUCUGUCGGAUCAAAGUCAACCGGCCACUACAUCUUCGUGGCAUCUUUACUUGUCUCAAUUUCUUGAUUUCUUGCAUCCAUACAUUGAUGACAUUGUUGAUGUGGGUGAUGAUGAAAAUUGUGGUUUCCAGGCUAUUGCAGCUUUAUUUGGAUGGGUUGAAGAGUCAUGGCUUGUAGAUACAAUGUCAUAUUUACCUCCCUGUCAAAGAGACUUAACAUUACAUUUUUCCUCUUACAUUAGUUCCACCUAUGUAUACGAGCAGACAUAAAAUCAUUGAUGUUGGUUUUGUCAAUGACAAUCAUUGGGAUUAGGUAAAAUUGAAACCUAGUAGUCCAUUGUCAUCCGUCACUGACCGCUGGAGACCGAACUAUACUGAAGAUGCAAAAACAUGGGAAUCAGCAGCAUAUGCAGGACAGAUUAGGCAUAGGAAAGAUGAAGUUAGGAAGCCAACAUAAGUAGUUUUGUAAUCUUGUAUGCAGAAUAACUUUUGUGGUAAAUAUGUAUCUAUUAUAUGUGAUGACUUUUUAAUCGAACCAUUAAUGCAGGCCGUUGUAUAAAAAAAAAUUGAAAAUUUGUGUUUUCGAUAAUUUUGGGAUCAUACCGGAAAUUUGGCAUUAUUUUCAAAUUCCGGUGUACUAAAUUUUUUUAAUUUUCAGGAUUCUUAACUAUUUUACACAAAAGUCAUGAUUUUCGGUAUAUCUUCACUGAUAAUUUUGAAAUUUCUGGUAUAUGGCUUCUGGAAAUUUGAAAUUUAAUUUAGUAACUUGGAAUGCAUACGACAUUUGUAAUUUUUCCUUUUAUACAAAAUUAAAAGAUGAUCGUAGUACAAUGCAAAAUAGUGUGGUUAUGAUUGAGGUCGAGUCCAUGUAUUUCUCUAGUUCGAAAGAUAAGAAUCCUAUAUUGGCAUUUAGGUCGUACUUUGGGGUCAUUGAGGAGAUUUAGAAGAUUGAUUAUAUUUUAUUCAACAUGCAUUUAUUUAAAUGCAAGUGGAUUGACAAUAAUAUUGGUGUACAAACUGAUGAGUUAGGAUUCACACGAAUUGACCUUGGUAAGACAACUUAUAUGGCCGAACCAUCCAUCAUUGCUACCCAAGCAAAACAAGUGAUUUACAUGACUGACCCUUAUGACAAAAGAUGGUCAUUAUUCUCCAAGGAAAACACAUUCCUCAUAAUAGUGAAAAUCAUUAUUUAAGUUUUGAUAUUCCUCUGACUCCUUCUUACGCAACACAAGUGCCUACUUCAUAUGAAGAAGUUGAUAGAGAUGAUAUGGAUGUUAUUCGUAAUAAUCAUGAAGAAGGCAUAUAGGAAAAUUAACAACUAAUUUUUUUUACUGUUUAUUCAUAAUUUGUUGUAUGUUAUAAUUUCUAAGAUUAUUUACUAACAAGUAAUAUUAUUUAAAAUUAUAGGUGUUUAAAAUCAAGACACCAAGAUACAAGGCACCUUGUUCAUGUUGUAUAUAUUAUUUAACGUAAUGAUAUGUAUAUUGUAUGUUGUUUUGUACCAUUUUGGGUUUGAUGUGAUAUACAAUUUUUGAAUUUUAAUGCAUUUUUUAGUUUUGAUAUAAUACAAUUUUUGAGUCAUUUAGUUGUCAACUGUAGGUGUGGUUCAUAAAUAGCUCGUGUUCUGUUUUUGCUCUAUUUAUGAUUUAAAAAAAUACAGGUUAAAAUUAGGCAGUUAUGUAAAAUAUAAAAAUUAUAUUAAAAAAAUAAAUCAUUCCACCACGAUCGAAUAUUGCAACUGGUGUUAUAUGUAAGCACGUUAUUCAGAUUAAAAAAUCACCAAAAUAACAUUGUUGGAUAUCGAACCCAAGACCUUAAAGCAUUUCACUACGCUUGUUUAUUACAACCGUGGUGAUAUGUAGUGCACUUGCCAACUUAUUAUCACAUGUUGUAGAUUGUGAUUGUUAGUAUCCCACUUACAACCACAUACUACUUUACCACAAACCCUCAACCGUCGUUAUAUCUCCUUUACAACUGUUGUUAAAUAUAUUAUUUGUAGUAAUAAUUUCUCCCAUGAAAUUAACUAUGCAAACUAAUAUCUUAUUAUGUGGAGACAUUAAUGAUUAGGCUUGGUUCACUCUCGUGUCCGGAGUGUUCAAAGUACUUUUCUUGACUUGAAAUCCUUCAUAACUAUUUUUAAGAGCUUUGGCUAUAACCUUUAACUCAAUUAAUGCAUGAUCAAAGUGAUUGUUUUGAAAGGCUAUCCAUUUCUAUUGAGUUGAAGAAAACACCAAGUCAAAUAACAUCAACUGAGCCAACACCACCCUCAUCGACUCAACCUCUUACAAAGAAGAUUUUUUUUCCAAAAAUGUACCAAAACAUGUUUUCAGUUAACCUUGAUUGAUGUAAUAUUUUGUGAUUAUCUUUUGAUGUUAUUUUGUAAUCUUUUGAUGUAUCAAUACUUGUAUUUGUUGAGAAUAUAAUUCUUUGUGUCAAAGCACCAUUUUGACAGAGAUUGUUGUUGUCAAAAUGCUCUGAGUAGAAAUUGUAUAGCAGUCAAAAUAUCGAAGAAGUGUACCUAGACAAAAAAAUUAGAUUUAACUUUAUUUUGUGUUUUUAACUGAGUUAGGUUAGUUGGAGAUUACUUGACGUGCAAGCAAUCGCAGCCUAAAAUAGGGAGUGCCCUAUCAUUAUAAACAAUAAUUGCAUAGAGAAAAUAUUGAAUAAACUUCAGUUUGAAGACAGAGAGAAACUCUGCAGAAAUAUUCUCCUUCUUCUCCUUUUCUCCCAAAGCCUAAUUUCUCUUUUCUUUCCCAAUUCAUUUUUUCCUUUCUUUUUUAAUAAUCGUUGUGCAGCGGAAUCAUCUUGGAACCAAGGUGUGGUUAAUUCACUCGAGUGAAUAGUGAAGAACAAGAGGUAGAAUCAACCGGAAGAAUUGAUUCUUGUUCGUCAAGAUUGAUUCGGAAUUCUCCGAGUUUUGGGUGUAAUUCCAACAUCUGGCAUCAGAGCACUGGUUGUGUGAUUCUUGGGAAGCAUGGCGUGAAGAAUCAUCUGAAUGGUAAUUUUCCAGAAAGUAUUCCAAUUCUGAAUGAUAAGAAUUAUGAUAAUUCGUGUAAGUAGAUGAAGAUUGAUUAUGUUAUCAAUAUAUGUGGGAUCUUGUGAAGGAAGGAGUAACACCACUUGCAGAAAAUGUGACGAAUGAAGAAAAUGUUGCACACAAAGAAUUGAAGAAGAAAGAUUAUAAAACUCUCUUUAUAAUUCAUCAAUGUGUCGAUCCAUACAAAUUUGAAUAUCUGAGUGAUCUUGAAUCAACGAAAGAAGUAUAGAAAAUUUUGGAGAAAUUGUUUGGAGGCACUUAGAAGGUGAAAGAGGUGAAAUUACCAACUCAAAAAAGAACGUAUGAAUUGCUUCAGAUGGAAGAAAGUGAAAGCAUAACUAAGUUUUUCACUAGGGUUACGAAAUUGGUGAAUGAAAUCAAGGUAUGGGGAGAAGUAUUGAAAUCAAGAUUAGUUGUUGCAAAGAUCUUAAGGUCAUUGACUCCAAAAUUCGGUCACUUAGUAGUAGCCAUAUAAGAAUCAAAAUACUUGUAAACAUUAACAAAUGAAGAACUUUAAAGGACGCUUGAAUAACAUGAGCAAAGAAUGAUUGAAAGAGUUACAUGCAAUUUGAAUAGUGAUGUGGCUUUGCAGGCGUAAUUAACAAGAGAAAAGAAAGGCAAAGGAAAAUGGUUCACAACAAAGGUAGAGGAGACUACAACAAUUCGACUAUUAAAAGAAAUCAUCAAGAAGAAAAUUUGCCGAAUCAAAGAAGACCCUUAUAUCAAAGCAACCACAGAGGUGGUAUUGCAGGUAAAUGAAAAGAUGGUGGAAGAAAACCUAACAAAAGUCACAUUCAGUGUUUCAAUUGUCAGAAGUAUGAUCACUAUUCGUGUGAUUGUACUGGAAAACAAAAGAAUCAAAAAAAUGAUGUUACAAAUAUUUUUAAUUUAAUAGUUCAUACAUUAACAAAUAAUUUUAACUAUGUAGUUCAUACAUUACUAAAACACAUUACAAAUAUUUUUUAUUUUAAUAGUGUAGUUCAUACACUAACCGAAAGAGUCUCCAUGAGACUAAAUAAUUUUAAUGCGAACUUUAUUACACUAAACCAAAAGCUAGUGAAAUAGAAUAACUAACUUUAAUUGGAAUAAAUAAAAAUGGUUGUGAAAGAAGAUGAGAGAAAUAAAAAGAUGAUGGUGUGAAAGAAGAUAAGGUUCAAAGUAAGAAAGUAAGAAGAUGAAAAAGAGAGAGAUUGAAACAAGGAAUGAUAGAGAUGACGUGGCAAUGAAAGAGUGAAAAUCAAUUAAUUGAUUUGUUGUGUAGCCUAAAAAUAGUAGAGUAGUAGUGAUACAGUUGUAGUGCAACCUACAUCAUCUAAUGAGUUCAAUUUCGGACGGUUUAGGAUACCGAUAGAUGUAAUUUUAGAGACCGAAUCCGUCCGAAUAUAUCCACCAUAAACUAAUUUUUUUUGUAAUUUCUCCAUCCAUUACCCGAACCGGCCCACCCGAAGUGAUAAUUAAUAUUUUGGAUUUUCGGUCGGGUCGACAUAUUUUGUACCACCCCUAAUCAAAACAUCAAACCGACAACUUAAUUAGAAAUUAAAUUCUUUAAUGAAACCACUUGCAAAUCAACUUUUCUGUUAUAGAUGUUUUAGGUAACUGCCACAUCAAAAUAUUGCAAAUCAACUUUUCUGUUAUAAAUGUUUUAGGUAACUGCUAAAUCAAAAUAUUGCAAAUCAACUUUUCUGUUAUAAAUGUUUUAGGUAACAGCUACAUCAAAAUAUUGCAAAUCAAUAGAUGGUUUAGGUAACUGCUACAUCAAAAUAUAGAAGAUUUUUUUAUUAUAAGUUGGUUUUGAUUUUUUAUACAUAUUAGAAAAUAUAAUAAUUAUGAUAUUAAAAAGAUAAAUUAUGAAGAGUUUUACAAAAUUAUUCUUUAUUAAUGGUAUUGGAAACACAAAUUGAUAUUAUUAAAAAGAGAGAAUAAUAAAUAUUUAAUGGUAUAAUAAAAAAAAUAACAUUAAUGAUUUAUUGGUAUUAUAAAACGAUUUAUAGUGUAAUAUAUUUUUCUAAAACAACUUAUAAUAAAAAACGGAGUCAGUUAAUCAAUAUUAUAAAAGGAAAUAUACGGCUAAGGCAGUAGCAUAAUACACAGCUAAGGUUGGAUAGUAUAAUGACCAGGAACACGUAAGCUUACUUGUUAAUGUUCAUUCAUGCAAUAUAGUUUGUUUUGUGAGAUGGUUGUCAUUAAUUACUCAAAAACAUAUUUAAUAUCAUAAGUAUUAGGGAUGCGCAUGAAUACCAUUUAAUAUGAACCAAUUCAUUUUCAUGGUUAUGGUUUAUAAAUCAAACCACUUCUCACAAAAACCAAUUUAAAAUUUAGAACGGGUUCUGAAUCGGUUUAAAAUUGGUUUUAAAUAGAUUUUGAUUUUAAUCAAAAUUAUUUAAUUUAAUUUAAAUUUUAUUUUCUUUAAAUUAAUAUUAUUUUUUUUAAAUUUAAAAACAUAAACAAAUUUUAUUAGAAUUUAAAAACAUACAAAAAAACAUUUUUUUUAGAAAAAAAUAACAAAUAUUCAGAUAAAAGAAAAAAAUAUAUAUAAAAAAAAAUUGAAAAUAAUAAAAUUAUAUUCUGAAAAUGAAAAAAAAAUUGAAAAUAAAAAAAGUCUUAAAAAAAAUUAUUCCAAAAAAUAAAUAUAACUGAAAAAAAAUUAUUUCAAAAAAAAUAGAAAUCGAAAAUAAAAAAAUUCUGAAAAUAAAAAAUAAUUUCUAUUCUAAAAUUAUAGAAAAUAAAAACUUUUUUUAUUCUGAAAAUUUGAAAAAAUAACCUUUUUGAAAAUUUAAAGAAUUAUAAAAAAUAUAUAUAUUUUUUUUAAAUUUACAGAAAAAAAUAUAAAAUAUUUUUGAUAAAAAAUAUUUUUUAUUUAAAAAAAAAAUUAUUUGAAAAAAAAAUCAAAUAUAAUUUUUUUGAAAAAAAAUUCAAAAUAUAAUAUUUUUUAUAAAAAGAAAAAAAAAUAUUUUAAAUAAAAUUUAAAAUAUAUAAUUGAUUUAUAAUGUGAUAAAACAUGAAAACUGACAAAUAUAAAAAUUUAAAGUAUAGUAAAAUUUGAAUACUCAAUAACAAAACCAAAAUUUUAUAAUAAAUAAUAAUUUAUAUUUGGAUAAUAAAAUGCAUACACAAAUUUUUAAUUUAUCAUUUGGUUUUGUUUUUAAAAAGUGAAAGGAUAUCGAUUUGAUUAUGAAUAAUCAAUUUUUUUACACACCCCUAACCUCUAAUUAGCAGUAACAAAAUGUAUUACUUAGUUUUAUUUAAAUAUAACCGCAUGUAACCCUCAAAUGUUUCAGUGGCAUAGCAAAAAGUAGUUUAGCUAAUUAGGAACAUUUGAGUCUAUCUCUGGAAUCAGAAUUAUGCAAGAUGCAUGUCUCUACUAUUAGCAUUAUGAUACAUAUUUUAUAAAAUUUAAGGGUGGUGGUAUAUUUAAUCAGAUUCAUCAAAUUAGGGGUGUGUAAAAAUACGGUUAACCAAAUUAUAUGACUAAACUGAAUUGCAUUCUACCAUGAAAUAACUAAAUCAUUUAAAUGGUUAAUUAAUUGAACCAUUUAAAAUAACCAAUUAUAAUUCAGUUUAAAAUUGAUUCAUAAUCAGUUUUCUUUUAUAAAUUGCUUUAAUUAUAAUUUUCUUUAAUAAGAAAAAGAAGAAUUAAUGAGAGUGAAAAAUUGAAAAUUAAAAAUAUUUAUAAUUAUGAAAAGUAAAAAAUAUUUUAUUGAAAAUUAAAAAUAAAAUUAUAAAAAAUAUAUAUAUAUUUUUUUUAGAAAAAAAAUCUGAAAAAUAAAAUAAGUAUUCCAUAAAAUAAAAAAUAUUUUUUUUUGAAAAUAAUUUUUUUUAUUCAUUAAAAAAGUAUAAAUUUAAUUUGAAAUAAAAAAAUGUUUUUCAAAAAAAUAAAAAAUUAUUGUUUUUUGAAAUAAAAAAAUCUGAAAAAAUAUUUUUUUUAAAAUAAAAAUUUCAGAAUAAAAUAAUUUUUGUAGUGUAAUUUUUCCCCAAAACUUUUGAAAUAUAAAAAUAAAAUAUUUUUAUUUUUAUUUUUCCGAAAAUAAAAUUCAAAAAAAAAUUAUUCUGGAUUUUAUUCCCCGAAAAAUUUAAAUCAAAAUUUUUAAAUUUUUUUUUUUGCAUGAAAUUUUUACAACAUUUUUUUCCAGAAAAAUAAAAAUUUUAAUUAAUUUUUAUAAAUAAAAGUUUUUUUUAAAAAAAUAAAUAUUUUCAAAUAUUAUUAUUUUUUUAAAUUAAUUAUUUUUUAUGAAAUUCAAAAAAUUAAUUUUAAAAGAGUUCAAAUUAUAAAAUUGGUUUAUAAUUGCAAACCGAUUAUAAACUAGUUUAUAAAUACAAACCGGUUAUAAACUAGUUUUAAACUGAAUUAAAAUCAUUUUAACAAUUAACUGCAUUUUUUUUAAAAUGAUUAUUAUAAACUGAAUUGAAUUAUAAAUGUGGUUUGGUUGAAUGGAGUUAAUAAACCACGAAUACCCCUACAUCACAUUAUGAUUUUAUUCACAAGUGGUGCAAGUAUCCUCCAAAGGAUGCAACUGCAAAUUGUAAGUUUAGAACCUUGAAUCAAAUUUGGCAUGUGAACCCUGGGAGUUGUGGUACAUAUAACUAGCUCCUCAUAGUCUGAUCUGGUGAUCUCCAUGCUACACGGGAAUCAAUUUGGAGUCAUUGGUCAUACAGACAAUACAAUUCACCAUUUCACAUCAUAUAAACACACAUGAUCAAUAAAUGUCUAACUUCUUGUUUGACAAAUGCUAGUAACCAUGAUCUCAAUUAACAACACACCAAACAAUUAUCGAAAACACAUAUUCCUUUAUUUAUUUCUGAAGUUCGGAGUUCGGAUUUCUUAUCAUCAAUACACAUAAAUAUUAAAAAAUUUAGGGCUAUUACCUGAUUAUUUGUAGCCCAACAUUCGAAGAAGCAAAAUACACAUUAGAAUUGGAGAAGAAUAAAGAUAAAAAUGACAUAUUCGAGAAGCACUCAACUGCAAGUCAAUUGUUUUUUUCAAACUAUUACCGUAACAUAAAAUGAACAUAUUGAUAUCCAAUAGCACUCUCUCUUCUCAUGCAGUAUAACAAACACCAAUUCAUCAUAUACCAAACGAACAUUGUAUAAACUAUAAACAUAACUCUUUUCCUAAACAUAUUUGACAAUUCCACAAAUUAGCAAAAAUGAUAAUCAUUGUUCAGUUUUAAAGUCAACAAACAUUGACAAAUUGGUUAAACACAAAAAAACAUUGACAAUUUUUUUUUAUAAUUUAAGGAGACAAUCUAAUUCUAAAGACAAAUUCGGACCUUGUGUGCACUUUCUAAACCUUGUCCCCCUUUGAUCAAAACACCCUGAGAUGCCUCAACUCCAAUGCCAACCAUAUCGAAAUCACCGUACAAAUCAUCAUUGUCUUUACUAUUUCUUUGGUCUAGAUGACUCGUGAUUUUUGUUUUCAUAUUAAGGGGUUUUCCACGUUAAAAAUGUCAGUAUUCAUUUGUGCCUUUAUUUGUUCGAUUUGCCAUCUUAUAUUUGUUAUUGAUCCUCAAGGUUCCUACAAGUCUGGGAAAUUUUAUAUCCGGUGCAUAUUGGUCUAUUAUUGUGUCUUAAUUUUCCAUCAGAGUGGCAUCAGAGCUCUUGGUUAAUGGCUAUUUUAAUUGUUUGAAUGGUGGAGUCGAAUACAAAGAUGAAGAUGGUAUUGUUGAAUGAUUAUAGUUACCAUUUAUGGAAGGGCAAGAUGAAAUACUUACUAUUUAUGAAGAAAUUUCAUUCACCGAUAUUUAGCUAUGCAAAGCCGGAUUUUGUGUCUGAUGAAGAAUGAGAGUUUGAACAUCAACAGGCACGUGGUUUUAUUCGACAAUAUGUAGAAUAUAAUAUUUAUAAUUAUAUUGCUAAUGAGACACAUGUACAAACUUUAUGGAAGAAGAUAGAGUCCUUGUAUGCCUCUAAAUCAGGGAAUAACAAAUUGUUCUUGUUGAAUAACUUCAUAAGUUUGAAGUAUAAGGAGGAGACUUCUAUUUCAGAUCACUUAAGUUAAUUUCAAGGGCUCAUUGAUCAGAUGUCAGAAAUGAGUUUCGAAUGUGAUGAUUAACUUUUGGGACUAUUUCUAUUUCUAUCUUUACCAUAGUUUUGAGAGACGUUUUAGGUUUCUUUCAUAAAUUCUGCUCCAAGAGGUGUUGUUUCUUUGGAAAUGACUAAGGAUCGUAUUCUUAAUGAGGAGAUGAGAAGGAAGUGUUGGUGUAAGCCCUAGAGGCCAAUACUUUUGGUACUUGUAUCGAAUUAUUUAUUAAUAAUAAAAGGCUUUUUCUUUAUUAUGUUUGUCUAAUAAAGUCCCUAGAAUAGCUAGUCCAUUUAAUGUAUCAAGUGUGACUUAACUAUGGAGUUCUUAUCUGUUAGGCUACCGAAAAGAAUAUGCAUCUUGUUGGUAUAGGUAAUACCAAUUAAUCCUUAUAUUUGACCCGCUAUGAGAAUACUAUAUAGAAUAUUAUGCAAAGUGUCAUAAGUUAUUCUCAUGGUGAUAAUGGUGCAUACCACCCUUCGACCUGAAACCACUAUGGACCCUAGAUGUAGAGUCGAGUGCCUUAUUGUUGAUCAAACAUUGUUCGUAAUUGGAUGACCAUAAAGACAGUUGAUGGGUACUCCACGAAGCAUGCUAAGGAACAUGAGUGACCUAGAUGGAAUUUGCCCAUCCUGCGUAACAUGAUAAAUGUCUAUUGGCCCAAUAUUGAACUGGACAAUGAUGACACGGUCUAUGUCUUGUGUUCAAUAUAGACAUAAGGGCAAAAGGAUAAUUGUACACAUAAGUAUUAUCACAAAAAAGAUUUGUCAGAUCACAUGACAUUUUCGUGUCUUGGGUAGCAGUGAUGUGUUGCUAGAUACCGCUCACUAUUUAUUAUGUUAAAUACGUGAUUUAAUAUAAUUGUCAAUACCGCGAAAACCUACAGGGUCACACACAAAAGGACGGAUUGAUGAGAGAUAUAGUAACUAAGGAAUACCGUAAUGUACGGUGCCCUUAAGUGAAUUGUAGAACAUCGUAAGGUACGGUGUACUUAAGUAGAAUACGAAAUAUGGUAAGGUAUCACACGCUUAAGUGAUUUUGACAUAUUAUAAGAUAUGGGCCACAUACACUUGAGUGGGUUUUUUAGCUUGCAACCCACACAAGUGGUUCUAUAAAUAGAGCCCUUGUGUAGAAGCAUUUGUGCAGUUGCAAUUUCGUUUCUCUCUCUCUCUCUCUCUCUCUCUCUCUCUCUCUCUCACNNNNNNNNNNNNNNNNNNNNNNNNNNNNNNNNNNNNNNNNNNNNNNNNNNNNNNNNNNNNNNNNNNNNNNNNNNNNNNNNNNNNNNNNNNNNNNNNNNNNNNNNNNNNNNNNNNNNNNNNNNNNNNNNNNNNNNNNNNNNNNNNNNNNNNNNNNNNNNNNNNNNNNNNNNNNNNNNNNNNNNNNNNNNNNNNNNNNNNNNNNNNNNNNNNNNNNNNNNNNNNNNNNNNNNNNNNNNNNNNNNNNNNNNNNNNNNNNNNNNNNNNNNNNNNNNNNNNNNNNNNNNNNNNNNNNNNNNNNNNNNNNNNNNNNNNNNNNNNNNNNNNNNNNNNNNNNNNNNNNNNNNNNNNNNNNNNNNNNNNNNNNNNNNNNNNNNNNNNNNNNNNNNNNNNNNNNNNNNNNNNNNNNNNNNNNNNNNNNNNNNNNNNNNNNNNNNNNNNNNNNNNNNNNNNNNNNNNNNNNNNNNNNNNNNNNNNNNNNNNNNNNNNNNNNNNNNNNNNNNNNNNNNNNNNNNNNNNNNNNNNNNNNNNNNNNNNNNNNNNNNNNNNNNNNNNNNNNNNNNNNNNNNNNNNNNNNNNNNNNNNNNNNNNNNNNNNNNNNNNNNNNNNNNNNNNNNNNNNNNNNNNNNNNNNNNNNNNNNNNNNNNNNNNNNNNNNNNNNNNNNNNNNNNNNNNNNNNNNNNNNNNNNNNNNNNNNNNNNNNNNNNNNNNNNNNNNNNNNNNNNNNNNNNNNNNNNNNNNNNNNNNNNNNNNNNNNNNNNNNNNNNNNNNNNNNNNNNNNNNNNNNNNNNNNNNNNNNNNNNNNNNNNNNNNNNNNNNNNNNNNNNNNNNNNNNNNNNNNNNNNNNNNNNNNNNNNNNNNNNNNNNNNNNNNNNNNNNNNNNNNNNNNNNNNNNNNNNNNNNNNNNNNNNNNNNNNNNNNNNNNNNNNNNNNNNNNNNNNNNNNNNNNNNNNNNNNNNNNNNNNNNNNNNNNNNNNNNNNNNNNNNNNNNNNNNNNNNNNNNNNNNNNNNNNNNNNNNNNNNNNNNNNNNNNNNNNNNNNNNNNNNNNNNNNNNNNNNNNNNNNNNNNNNNNNNNNNNNNNNNNNNNNNNNNNNNNNNNNNNNNNNNNNNNNNNNNNNNNNNNNNNNNNNNNNNNNNNNNNNNNNNNNNNNNNNNNNNNNNNNNNNNNNNNNNNNNNNNNNNNNNNNNNNNNNNNNNNNNNNNNNNNNNNNNNNNNNNNNNNNNNNNNNNNNNNNNNNNNNNNNNNNNNNNNNNNNNNNNNNNNNNNNNNNNNNNNNNNNNNNNNNNNNNNNNNNNNNNNNNNNNNNNNNNNNNNNNNNNNNNNNNNNNNNNNNNNNNNNNNNNNNNNNNNNNNNNNNNNNNNNNNNNNNNNNNNNNNNNNNNNNNNNNNNNNNNNNNNNNNNNNNNNNNNNNNNNNNNNNNNNNNNNNNNNNNNNNNNNNNNNNNNNNNNNNNNNNNNNNNNNNNNNNNNNNNNNNNNNNNNNNNNNNNNNNNNNNNNNNNNNNNNNNNNNNCAUCUGCUUCCAAAUACUAUAUCUAUUGUAAUUGAUGUGUUACGUAGUUAGAGGCGAAUAUAUUACUUUUGAUGAUAAUUUAAUUGGAUCCGUUGGUUUACAGUUUUUGAGCUCUUAUGUACAACACUUAUGGCUCACUAUUGUUUAUAUAAGGCCAGAUUUAGGGUUUAAUUGAUGGUUAGUUUUUGAAUGGAAAUGAUCCAUGUGAUGGAUUGGAAUAAGGAGUUAUUCACCCAACUAAAAUAUUCGAGAGUUGUAUUAGAUACAAUUGGAAGGAGUUCCUACCUAAAUAACCUAGUUUUGUGUAAUUCGCCUAUGCAAACUUAAAACAAAGUGAAAUGUGAAUCUCGACCCACUAGAAAAUCUUCCAACGGGAUUUUCCGAAUCAAAUGGUGAGGGUCAUUUGUUUUAAGUAAAAUAGUGGGAGCACAUUUAAUUAAAGGCCUAAUUAAAUAUGUUAUUGAUACUUAUAUUUUUAUUAUUUUCAUGUAGAUUACCAUGACAACAAACACCUCUAACAACAUUUUGCGAUCAAUCCUUGACAAGGAAAAAUUAUCUGGGACAAAUUUUCUGGAUUGACACCGAAAUCUGAGGAUUGUCCUCAAACAUGAGAGAAAGCUGUAUGUCUUGGAGAAACCUGUUCCUGAAGAGGAACCUCCUAGUUCUGCACCUAAGGCAGAAAGAGAUGCUUAUAAGAAGCAUGUCGAUAAUGCCAAUGAAACUGUUUGUCUCAUGCUAGCUACCAUGAACUCAGAGUUGCAAAAGUAACAUGAGAACAUGGCAGUGUUUGAUAUGAUCGAACACCUGAAGAUGCUCUAUCAAGAGCAAGCAAGGCAUGAAAGGUUUGAAGUUUCAAAAGCCCUUUUUCAAGACAAGUUAGCUGAGGGAGCCCCUGUAGGUCCCCGUGUGCUCAAGAUGAUUGGGUAUGUGGAAAACCUUGAGAGGUUAGGUUUUUCUCUCGAAAAGGAACUUGCGACUAAUUUGAUCUUGCAAUCGUUGCCAGAGAGCUUCAGUCAAUUUGUCAUGAAUUUCAAUAUGAAUGAUAUGGACAAAUCUCUUCCUGAACUGCUAGCCAUGUUAAGAACUGCUGAGCAGAAUCUGAAGUCAAAAGGGAAAUCAAUUCUGAUGAUCGGAAAUGGAAAGAGACAGAACAAAAGACCCACCAAGCAGGGUGAUAAAGGGAAAGGCAAGGAAGUUGCCAAACCCAAACCCAUUGUUGCUACUUUGAAGCCUAGUGGAGGCAUAACAAAGGAAGGCACCUGCUUCCAUUGCGGUAAGACUGGACACUGGAAGAGAAACUGCCCAAAUUACCUGGAAGAUAAGAAGAAUGGAGUAGAGACUUCAACUUCAGGUAUUUUUGUUAUUGAAAUUAAUUUAUCUACUUUUGCAUCAUGGGUAUUAGAUAUUGGAUGCGGUUCUCACAUUUGUACCAAUGAAAAGAAGUUAGAUACCUUUGGCAUUGUCGAUUAUGCCACAUAAAUGAGAAACCGCAUUUCCAAACUCCAUAAAGAAGGACUGUUGGACUCUUUUGUAUUAUGAAUCAAUGAAACAUGCAGAUCUUGUUUAAUUGGAAAGAUGACAAAGUCUCCAUUCACAGGAAAAGGUGAAAGAGCUAAUGAUCUUUUGGCCCUCAUACAUACUGAUGUAUGUGGACCACUGAACAUACCAACCAGAGGAGGUUUUCAGUACUUCAUCACAUUUAUGAUGAUUUCCGUAGAUAUGGUUAUGUGUAUUUAAUGAAACACAAAUCAGAGUCCUUUGAAAAGUUCAAGGAUUCAAGAAUGAAGUAACAAAACCAACUCGGUAAGAAUAUUAAAACUCUUCGCGAUCAGAUCGAGUGGUGGUAUUUAAAGCGUAGAGUUUGAUGACAUCUGAAAGAGUGUAGGAUCCUAUCCUAACUUACUCUCGUAGAACACCCCAAUGGAAUGGUGUUCUGAGAGAAGAAAUCGAACCUGUUAGACAUGGUCCGAUCUAUGAUGAGUCACGCCGAUCUUCGAAACUCCUUUUGGGGACAUGCAAUAUUGACAACAGCUUACACACUUAACUGUGUUCCUCCAAAAAGGUUGAGAAGACACCAUAUGAGAUAUGGAGUGGUAAGAAACCAAUAUGUCUUACUGAAGAUUUGGGGUUGCGAAGUUUAUGUGAAAUGACAAUUUCAACUAAGCUUGAGCCCAAAUAUGACAAUGCUAUUUAUGGAUAUCAUAAAGAAACAAAAGGGUAUUACUUCUACAAUCCUUCUGAGGCAAAGUGUUUGUCGCUCGAACUGGAGUUUUCCUAGAAAAGGAUUUUAUUUCCAAAGGAAUCAGUGGGAGGAAAGUAGAGCUUGAAGAAAUUCAAGAAUCACAAAGCAUUGAUACACCUAUGGAGGAAUUAGAGCAGGAAAACAAANNNNNNNNNNNNNNNNNNNNNNNNNNNNNNNNNNNNNNNNNNNNNNNNNNNNNNNNNNNNNNNNNNNNNNNNNNNNNNNNNNNNNNNNNNNNNNNNNNNNNNNNNNNNNNNNNNNNNNNNNNNNNNNNNNNNNNNNNNNNNNNNNNNNNNNNNNNNNNNNNNNNNNNNNNNNNNNNNNNNNNNNNNNNNNNNNNNNNNNNNNNNNNNNNNNNNNNNNNNNNNNNNNNNNNNNNNNNNNNNNNNNNNNNNNNNNNNNNNNNNNNNNNNNNNNNNNNNNNNNNNNNNNNNNNNNNNNNNNNNNNNNNNNNNNNNNNNNNNNNNNNNNNNNNNNNNNNNNNNNNNNNNNNNNNNNNNNNNNNNNNNNNNNNNNNNNNNNNNNNNNNNNNNNNNNNNNNNNNNNNNNNNNNNNNNNNNNNNNNNNNNNNNNNNNNNNNNNNNNNNNNNNNNNNNNNNNNNNNNNNNNNNNNNNNNNNNNNNNNNNNNNNNNNNNNNNNNNNNNNNNNNNNNNNNNNNNNNNNNNNNNNNNNNNNNNNNNNNNNNNNNNNNNNNNNNNNNNNNNNNNNNNNNNNNNNNNNNNNNNNNNNNNNNNNNNNNNNNNNNNNNNNNNNNNNNNNNNNNNNNNNNNNNNNNNNNNNNNNNNNNNNNNNNNNNNNNNNNNNNNNNNNNNNNNNNNNNNNNNNNNNNNNNNNNNNNNNNNNNNNNNNNNNNNNNNNNNNNNNNNNNNNNNNNNNNNNNNNNNNNNNNNNNNNNNNNNNNNNNNNNNNNNNNNNNNNNNNNNNNNNNNNNNNNNNNNNNNNNNNNNNNNNNNNNNNNNNNNNNNNNNNNNNNNNNNNNNNNNNNNNNNNNNNNNNNNNNNNNNNNNNNNNNNNNNNNNNNNNNNNNNNNNNNNNNNNNNNNNNNNNNNNNNNNNNNNNNNNNNNNNNNNNNNNNNNNNNNNNNNNNNNNNNNNNNNNNNNNNNNNNNNNNNNNNNNNNNNNNNNNNNNNNNNNNNNNNNNNNNNNNNNNNNNNNNNNNNNNNNNNNNNNNNNNNNNNNNNNNNNNNNNNNNNNNNNNNNNNNNNNNNNNNNNNNNNNNNNNNNNNNNNNNNNNNNNNNNNNNNNNNNNNNNNNNNNNNNNNNNNNNNNNNNNNNNNNNNNNNNNNNNNNNNNNNNNNNNNNNNNNNNNNNNNNNNNNNNNNNNNNNNNNNNNNNNNNNNNNNNNNNNNNNNNNNNNNNNNNNNNNNNNNNNNNNNNNNNNNNNNNNNNNNNNNNNNNNNNNNNNNNNNNNNNNNNNNNNNNNNNNNNNNNNNNNNNNNNNNNNNNNNNNNNNNNNNNNNNNNNNNNNNNNNNNNNNNNNNNNNNNNNNNNNNNNNNNNNNNNNNNNNNNNNNNNNNNNNNNNNNNNNNNNNNNNNNNNNNNNNNNNNNNNNNNNNNNNNNNNNNNNNNNNNNNNNNNNNNNNACAUUUGUACCAAUGUGCAGGGGCUAAAAGGAGUAGAGAUUUGCAAAAAGGUGGAAGUUGAACCUAACAAGUAGUUGUGGAAGAGCAACCUGCUCAAGUAGAACAAGACCAGCGUAGGUCAAGCAGGAUACGUCACCUACCUGAGAGGUAUGAAUAUCUCAUAACUGAUCAAGGUGAUGUAUUACUCAUGGAUCAAGAUGAGCCUGUGACCUACCAAGAGGUCAUAACUGGUCUCGAGUCUGAGAAGUGGCUAGAAGUAGCAUAUCAAUAUUAUUACAUGAUAUGUGCCAAUUGAGUAUGAUCUCAGUAUUUUCUUGCAAGCAACUUUAAUAUUCAUCAAACCAUAUAUUGGUUCAGCAAACUAAAAUGAUAAGCCAAGUCUCAAUAGAUUAAAGUUUCAAGUUAUCAUAUGAUGGUAACAAACGCCUCAUUUAUCAUAUGAUGGGAACAAAAAACCAAAACUCGAAAAUUCAAUGAGUACAUAGCUAUGAUAAAAUCCUUAGUUCAAAAAAUAACAUUGCAAUUAGAUCACAUUACAUAGAUAAACUAUAACGCGUGAAAACAACAAAGAAUGUCAUCCCAGCUACACAAAUCACAUUAUGCAAGUUGCAAAAUCAUACAAAAAAUACAAGAAAAAUUGCAUAUGGAUGUAAAAGUCAAAGGAGAGUACAUCAGUCUCAACAUCACGAUAUAAUACUUUAGGCUGAGCCAAAUCAUAUUCAUCAAGCAUUAACAACUGUCAACAACAUAAGAAUAACCUUAUUAUCAGAUGAAGAAAACAUCUGUUACAAAAAUAUUCAUAACAACAAACCAAAAGCAAUUACAAAUCUAUUAGAAUUCUACAGAAUUAAGUUCUACAAAUCUAUUAGAACUCAAAAUAAAAACAAUGUAAACAGUGCAAACAAAAGUAUAGUUUAUUCGUUCCAUCUGAUGCGUCUUCAUGUACCUCCCCAUCUUUCUGGAUUUCCCUGGUGAUAACGUAAAAAACAUAUCAUAACAAAAAAUGAUGAAUCCAACAUUAACAUAAAAAAAUAGUAGAAUCGAAAUAUACCAUAUGCCGUAGAAACUCGACGAAGACGAAAUCGUGCUUGCUGAUAGUGACAUGGAAGUUGGUGUUAUCCAAUGUGAGGGUGGAUUUCUUGGACAAUGGUUCCUCGGUACAGAUCUGAGCAGGAAGCAACACAAGAAGAGAGAACAAAAAACCAAAAAAAAUUAAAACGUUAGAGGCGGAUCUAUACAAAUUUAUACAAAACCAAAAAAUUCGCAACCACUUCUAGAUCGUCAUCCGCCAAAUAUGCAAUAAAUCAAACAAAAAUAAGUUUUGGAAAAAUUUCUAAAACACAUCUCCACGUUAUUCUUCAGACAAUAGCGAAAAAUCCCCAAUGCCACAUCAAGCAAUUCAACAUAAAUCUACAAAAAAAUUCAAGAUUCAGAAACAUAACUUUGACAAAAUACAAAUGAUGACUUUGAUUGCUUUUUUGGCUUCAGUUAGGGCUUCAAAAGUGAUAUUGUUGAUAACAGAUUUGGAUUUGUUUUUUGGAAGAUCAUCAUUACAAUUUAUAAAAGAGGAAGAAGGAAGAAGAGGAAGAAGUAAGAAAGAGAGAAAUGAGAGAGAGACCGAGAAAGAGAGAAAGGAAGAAGAGACAGAUGGUGAGUUGAUAGAUUGGGAAAAGAGAAAAAGUAAAAAAUGUUGAAAGAUUUAGUUAGAAUUUAAUCAAUCUACUUUUAAUAUAUAAAAGUUAAUUACCACCAUAAUUACUUAAUUACCCUAAUUACAAUCCAUAAUACAGCUAAUUUCAUGUUCCUAUAAGUAAUUUCGUACUAAACUCUAUUUUAAUACUUCUGAUCUAACAUCUAAAACUGAAUUUUCCAAUUAAUAUUAAAUUUGCCUCGACAACAUCAAAAUUGAUUCAACUAUAUUAAUUAUAAAUAUAUAAUUAAAAAAUUGAUUCAAAUAUAUCAAAAUGUGAUAAAAUAAAUUACCUAUUAUUGUUGUUGCAAUCUUAUCAUUCCAAAAUGAAAUCAAUAUCCUGAAAUCAAAUUAGUAUUAUUGUAGUUUUUGCAAAUAUUAUCGUUGCUUGAUUUCUUUAAAUGACAAAUGAAUUUUUUUAUAAUAAUAAUAUUACGCGUAUUUUAUUGUUGUUGCAAUCUUAUUCAUUCCAAAAUGAAAUCAAUAUUCUGAAAUCAAAUAAUUAUAUUUAUUGUAGUUUUUUUGCCAAAUAUUUACGUUACUUGAUUUCUUUUAAAUGACAAAAUGAAUUUUUUAAUAAUAAAUAUACUGAUUUUUUAGUGGUCUUUCUGAGAUGUCAAACCGAGAAUAUGAAAAGAGGGAGAAGUAAUAUGAAACGGUUUGAUGAAAAUUAGGGUUAUUAAUUGAAUAAAUUGAUAUUAUUAUUAUUAUUAUUAAUAUGUUUAUUUAAUUAAUAUUUAUUAUCAUCAUUAUUAAUCCCAUUUACCCACUUAAUAACUCAAAAUAUUCCAAAACCACUGACAAUAUAUAUCAUUUUUAAAUGUAAUGGAUACAGAUAUGCAACUUCCAAUACACGUGUUUCAACCCUAAAAAUCAGUAAUCCACACUUUUCACUUCAAUAUUUUUGUGCUUAUAUUGAAGCAAACUUUUCCAAAAGUAACCAUCAUUAAUGCUCUACUUUAACAUCACAUCAACCUAUAUUAUCAUAUUACUUUUCAAAAGAAGAACCAAAUUGAAUAAUAUAAUAUUAUUUUUUUUAUUCUGUUUGGAAACCAAUUUGAAUAAUAAAGAUAGAAACAAAUUUGAAUAAUAAAGAUAGAAACCAAAUUGAAUAAAUAAUAAUAGAAAACCAAUUGUGAAUAAUAAAGAUAGAAACCAAAUUUGAAUAAUACAAUAUUCUGUUUGGAUCAUAUAAUAUUUUUUUUAAAAAAUCAUUAUGUAAUUGCAAUUUUAUAUAAAUUCAUUAUGUACAUGACAAUUAUUUUUCUUAAUACUGUUUUUUUUUCUUACAUUGACAAUAUUUUUUUAUCUAUUUAUACUACUAAAAAUAUUACCGUUAUUUUAUUUGUUGUUGCAAUCUUAUCAUUCCAAAACGAAAUCAAUAUCCUGAAAUCAAUUAAUUAUUAUUGUUGUUUUUUGCCAAAUAUUAUCGUUGCUUGAUUUUCUUAAAUGACAAAAUGAAUUUUUUAAUAAUAAAUAUACCAUUAUUUUAUUGUUGUUGCAAUCUUAUCAUUCAAAAUGAAAUCAAUACCCUGAAAUCAAAUUAAUUAUUAUUGUAUUUUUUGCCAAAUAUUAUCGUUGUUUGAUUUCUUUUAAAUGAAGAAAUUGAAUUUUUUUAAUAAAAAUAUGAAACCACUUAAAUUGUAGGAGCGUGGUUUCUUAUAUAUACUCUUUUUUUUUUCAGGUUAUUAGGUUUGAAUUUAUAGUCAUCUAAUUUGCAGUUACAUUAAUUUUUGAAUUUUUUUUCAGUGAAAAUGAGUAGAAAGGUUGAUUCUGUGAAAGACAUCAAUGACUCAAAAGAAACUUGGCGUCUUGUUUCGAAUAAUGGAUGUUUGAAGUGUUGUGAAUAAUAAGGGUAUUGAACAUUUGGAGAUGAUUGUUAUGAUUCCUUGGAUUUUUUUUCUUUUUUAAGUAUAGAUUUGUAUGAUAGUUAGUAAUUACAACAAAAUGCUUUUUUUGUAUAACAUAUAAAAAGAAGAUUAUUUUAUUUGUUAGGGUGAUGCGAUUCAGGUCCUUAUCGUCAUGACCAUUUACUGAAAUGGAAAGAGGUCAUUAAGAGAAAUAACAUGCAUUAUAAACAAUGACAGUGUCUAUAACAAUGAUUCAGUGGAAGGUAUGUGAUUCAUUCAAAAAAAUGUGUGUUUCUUGGUGGUACACAAUGAAGGCAAUCGAACUUCAAAAUAUUCCACCAAAGGAAUUUCUUUAAAGAUUUUGGUGAGAUACUUCAAGGCAAAUGCAAAACCGAUAGACUGGAAGGUAAUUUAAAUUCUAUAUAACUUAAUAUUCAAACACAUUCAAUAAGGAACCUUACUUUAAUGUAGAUAUUAUUGGUGCUUGUAGUGAGAUAAACCAAUUCCAAUCCAACACUCCGGGGAAGAAAUUAUUGUUUCUGUGUGCUGAAAGAUUGAAGUAAUGCGCAUUGUUCCUAACUUAUGUGUUUGAUAAAUUAUAUAUUUUGCAUCACUGAAUCCCAUCAUAUAUAUAUUGUUUAUUUAUAUGCAAAAUAGGGUAAUUGCAUAAAUGAAAUUUAUGGAAAUCUAUGGAUACAAAUUUGGCUUACACAAUGAUCCUAAAACAAUGGAGCUAUGUAAUCUGCUCACUCAUGCAAUGGUAAAAGAUGGCCAAGGUAUACACUAUCAGACUUAUAAAUACAUAGCUAAUUUGUAUUUUUCAUUAUACGUUCAAUAAUAUUAUAUAAUAACAAUUACAGGGUCAAAUGCAUGGAGUGGUUCCAAAUUGUUGAUAAAUGAAGACAUCCUGAAAUCAAGAUUAUGUCUAAGUAUGGAUUUUAUAUUAUUUAUAUUCAAUAUAUACAUAAUUUUUAAUUUCAAAAACAAUCUAUCUAUAGGUUGCCUACUAAUGAACAGAAGGAGAAGCCUACUCAACUGCAAAAUCUCUUUCUAAUUGGUCUGGGGUUCUCAGUAUCGACAGUAGAAAGGUUUGUCAUAAUGCGAAAUGUAUGUCCUUAAGUCAGUUCUGCAAAAUCAAACAUGUAAGUUGAAUACUAUAGAGCCGAAUUAUCUUACUAUACAAUUAUAUUGUUUGCUUUUUGAAUUAAAUACAUUUUUGAUUGCUUUAGGAAACUUUAUGUGUACUGUAGCAACCACAUUGAAAUUUGCUGUCUCAAAGUAUGGAUGUUUUAAUUAUGGCUGCACAAGGUGUUCUUCGAAGGCACUAAUCCUGAAAAAGCUUAUGAAUGUUCAUGUGGGCAAAAUCGAACAGCCUAUUACACAGGUCAUAUAAUCUAGAUGAAUGCAAAUAAAUUUGGUAAUGGAUUGUUAUUAACAUAUAUUUUCUUCGUUAUAAAAUACAUAGGUACAAGAUGAGAUAUAUGUGACAAUGGUGAAUCAAAAUAUCGAUUUGUAUCUGGGAUCCGAAUGCGCUGGCUAUACUUGGAAUGAUGCUCGAAUUUAUGCAUAACUCUAUCGUGGAGGUACAGUGUAUACAUAAUUAAAAUGUUAAUAGUUUAUCGACGUUGUAAAGUUCAGAUUAUCACUCAUGGUUGAUAUUUUAUUUUUCCAAUGUUUAUCCUGAUGAGCUUGAAAUGCUGUUGAAUAAGAAAAUGGCUUUUAGAGUUAAGGUGCAGCCAACGUUUCCCAAGCGUCUGUUUGGAAGCUUUGUGAUGAGGAAGCUUUGUUAAAAGAUGAAAAGACUACAUAGUAGAAGACGUAUAAUAUUCACUUAAUUCAGUAUUAUUUAAACAUUUAACAAGUAUAAUAAAUAUCGAUGUUUCAAUGUGCAGAAUCAGUCCUAAAAUUGAAUAUGCAAAGUGUGUCCCUAACAAAGAAAAUUUGGAAACUUCCGUAGUAAGUAUCUAUUGUUAACAAAUAAUUUUUUAAUGAUAAAUAUUCGAUAUAAUAAUUCAUUUUAUAUUCUGACAAUUAAUUUUUAUUUAUAUGCAAGCAAACAUUAUCUGCAUCUGGUGAAAAUGAUCCCAUAAAUCAAUCAAUCUAAUGACUCCGGCUAAGCGAGUUGUAAUUGCUGACAAGGGUGAAGAAGUUGAUUUUGAAGAGCCGUCUGGCGCUACGCAAUUAUCAGGCACCCAAACCAUUCAAGACAGUAAAGAUAGAACCAUCUUCUUAAUUAGAAUUUUCGGAAAUAUUGAUAUGAAAUAAUUUUAUGAACUUUAGCACCAGAAUGAGUUAAGUAUGAAGUUGUUAAGAACAUGAUAUGUUUGGUUGUAGGAAUGUUUCUACUUUUUUGAAGUGUUUAUUUUGUGGGAUUACAAUUGGACAUUUAUUUUCAUGUAUGGUUUAAAGGAUUAAAGGAUGAUAAUGGAGUAUUUAAUUCAUGUGUGUGAAAUUACAAAAUCCUAUGUUGUUAUGUGAACAUUGUGUUGUGUGUUCUUUCAACUACAAAAUUAUAAUGAGUAUCAUAUCUUCAAAAUGUUAAUAAGCUAUUUAAGAUUGAUAACAAAAUACGUUGUCAUCUUAUGGAAUAUGUGUAUACACUAAAUUUAAAUAGAUUAGGCAGUCGUGUUUGGUCCAGCAUGCCUAAGGGUGUUAGAAAUUAAAAAAGCAUUACAUAAAAAUUAUUAUGAAAUCCUUCAAAACUAAUAUAGAAAACACAUAGAAACACAUUUACAAUUUUUUUUCAAAGUCUAAUACAUAUGUUAAAUUGCAGGUAGUUCAGAAUGCUGAAGCAAAGUUGAAUCUUGCAUUCAAGCUGAUAAGGAUUAUAAAAAAAACAGGUAUAAUUAUCAUAUACAGUGAAUUGGUUUUGAUUGGUCAAUGGAAAAUCUACAUUGUUUGGUUAAAUGAUUAAGUUAAUAGCAUGCAACUAUACUUUUUUACCAAUCUCACGUUAUCAUAUAUAAUAUAAAACUCAACAUAUUUAAAAUUAUUAUUUGCCAAAUAUAGUUGGGGGUUGAAAAUAAUAAUUACUGUUCACUGCCCCUCCUUUCUAUUGGCUAGGUCAGUGGAGUAUAAAAAUAAUCAGCCGUAGCAUAAUCUAAUGUUAUGCAUGAUUUGGAAAUAAAUCAAUAAGAAUAUCAAUUAUUUAAUACAUUAGUUGGACAGAAAAAAUGAUUGUAAAUAAUUAAAGUGGACUAAGAAAAUGGCCCCACUAAAUCCCACUAAAUAUAUAAUAUAAAAUAUAAUUAAAAAAUGAUUCAAAUAUAUCAAAAUACAUUAAAAGAGAGUUUUUCAUUGGGUAAGGUGAUGUAUGAUAUGAGUAAUUUCCAUGGGUGAAUUAAUUUUAUGGAUGUGGGAUAAAAAGAGAAUUGAAAUCUUGAAUAUGGUGUGGAUUUGGAAUAAGAUGUGGAUUUCCAAAAUAUGGGGUGUUUUUGUUGAUUUGGGUACAAAGAGACUUCCAUCAUUUUUGCAUAAAUUGGAGCAUGUGGUUAUGUUGAUUGAGGUUCAUUUUCAAAUGAAAUGUGUACACAAAAAAAUUAAAAUAAAAUAAAAUAAAUUGGUUCAAAUUAGACUAGCGAGUGAAAAAUAUGAAAAAAAAUAAAUUACUUAUUUAUACUACUAAAAAUAUUACCUUGUUUUUUAUUGUUGUUGCAAUCUAUCAUUCCAAAAUGAAAUAAUAUCCUGAAAUCAAAUUAGUUAUAUUGUAGUUUUUUUGCCAAGUGGAUAUGUGGUUGAGCAGUUGGGAAAUAAGCUCCAUAUACGAAGAGCGGAGUUACAAUCCAGCCAACAAUUGCAAGAAUACAAUAAUUUGUUCUUAAGUCUACAGGUAAAUAUGUUAAAUGUUUGUAAGUUUUGUCAUAAUUUUAUAAAGUUUAACUUUAAAGUAGAUUUAUCUACAAUUUUUUUUAAUGUAUAAUUAAUUUAUUCACUGCAUUGUUGCUAUGUAUUUUUUUUAAAUUAGAUGAGCAAGAGGUUAUUCAAGCGAAUAAUGGAAGCAAUAAACAAUCAACAAGGAGGCGUAUUUUUGUAUGGAUACGGUGGCACAGGGAAACCUACAGUGUGGAGAACUCUAGCUUCCUUUAAGAUUCAAAGAAACAAAUUGUUUAACUGUUGCUUCAUAGGCAUAGCUUCACUACUACUUCCAGGAGGUCGAACGACCUCAUUCAAUGUCAAGAUUCCAAUACCUAGCAAUGAGUCUUCUACAUGUAAUAUCGACAAGGGUAGUGAUCGUGGCAGAGCUACUAAAAUGGCAAAGUUGAUUAAUUUGGGAUGAAGCUCCAAUGGCACACCAGAUUUUGUUUUGAAGCGUUUGAUACAAACCUUAAAGACAUAAUGGGGCGUUCCAAUUGUUCUGACAAAUUAUUCGGAGGGAAAGUAAUGUAUUUUGGUGGAGAUUUUCGGCAAAUAUUACCAGUUGUACCAAAGGGGCAGCCGUUCAGAUAUAUAUACAUUCUACAAUAAAUUCAUGCAUACAUUUGGUCAUUGUGUUGUGCUGAAGCUGUACAAAGGACAUUCGACUCCAACAAGCCGGCAAUACUUCAAGUAACAUCGAAUUAGAAUUGUUUCUAAUUGGAAUAUAAAGUUGGCGAUGUGGGAAAUUCGGAAGAACCUAACGAUGGUUACACGGAUAUUCCUAUCCAAAUGAUUCUUUAAUUUUCUAAUUAUGAUGAUCCACUAGAAAGCCAUUGUUAGUGAAACAAUCCGAAUUUUCUUAACAAUUACGAAGAAUCAGAAUUUUUGCAAUCAAGAGCUAUAUCUUGGCAGGAACAAUUGAAACGGUUGACAUCAUAAAUCAAUACGUUUUGAGAUUCAUACCAGGUAGUGCGUUUCCAUUGUAAACAUGAUUUAUAGAUACAUUCAUAUAUUUAUAUUGUAUAAACAGUAGAUCUAUAAUAAUAAAAUUUCAAAAAGUUCCCAAGGGAAGAAAAGGAAUAUUAAGUUCAGAUUCUGUAGACACUUUGACGGUGAAGGAAAUGAAGCUUUUGAUGUUUUGACCCCAGAAUUUUUGAAUACACACUAAACUUCCGUCUACCUAACCACAAGAUUAAAUUGAAGAUUGGACCGCCUAUUAGUUGCUUCGAAACAUUAUCAACCCUGAAGGUCUCGCAAUGGAAAAGGCUUAUAGUUACAAGAUUGGCAACCACGUUAUCGAGGCAAAAGAUAUAUCUGGAAAGAAUAUUGGAGGGGUUAUCUAUUUCCAAGAAUGGAUAUGAUCCAAACACAAUCUCCGUGGCCAUUCAAAUGACUAGAAGGCAAUUUCCCCAUAACUAUAUGUUAUGCUAUGACAAUUAACAAAUCUCAAGGUCAGUCAUUGGAUUAUGUUGGAUUGUAUUUGCCUAGAAGUGUAUUAAUCAUGGUCAACUACUAUGUUUGCCGAUAUUCAAGGGUCCAAAAGCAAAAAAUGGCUUAAGAUAUUAAUCCAUGACAAGGAUAACCAUUCAUUGAAUUCUACAACAAACGUCGUGUUCAAAGAAGUUUUUGAAAACUUAUAGAACGUAAGUUUUUCAGUAUAGUUAUAUAUUCAACAAAUGUCGUUGUUUAUUAUUAGAAUUUUAUUGAAUGAGUUGUAUAAAUAUACAUUAUGUUUUAACAUUUGUUUAUAUGAUGUAAUUUGUUUUUUACAGGGUAAUGAAUUCAUCACUUCUAAAAGUGCUGCGCAGGCAGGUUUUGUAUAAACCCAGUUUUUUAAGGACCAAAGAAUUGUACGAAGUUAAAUUCAUUUUUGUUGCUGGACUUUUUCCACAAUUUUAACUAAAAUUGUGAACCUUUUUGUUCAAUAUCUUUUGUUGCAUAAACCUUACUCUAAUCAAUUUGCAAUUAAUUUUCAACAUUUGGUAGUAUUCGUUAUAUAUUUAAAACAAAUGAGGUUCUAGUAUUUCUUUUACAUGGUUUAUGUAUUUUGGUUAAAUAAUCAUUUACUAUGAAGGUUAAUAUUUGCGCUUUUAUAUCUCAAAUUAGUAACAGAUUGGAAAUUUCAUCCAUUACUAAAUAUAUUUAUUUUAUUUCUUAUGUCCAAAAUCUCAAUGAUAAAGGAAUGUUUAUUCAUAACAUUACAAUGGAAUGUUUAUUCAUAACAAUUAACAAUGGAAGUUUAUUAAUAUCAAUAUACAAAUAAAUUGUAAAAAAUAUUUUUGUAUUAUAUUUUUUGAUUAUUCCUUAAUAUAGUAUACAAAAAAAUUAAGCAAAAUUAUAUUACUAUAAAUUAAUAAUGUGUUUACUUUUAUGUCCCAAACUGGAAAAGAUAUUAUUUGUGGAAAUUUUUUGAACCCAUUUAUUGAUCAUUAACAUCCAUUACUUUAAAAAAAAAACUCUAUUGCAAUAAAUUUGUGUACGUUGAUCCAACCAUAUAUAUAAUAUAUAUAUAAUAUAUAUAUAUAUAUAUAUUAUAAUAUAUAUAUAUAUAUUAUUUAAGCAACAAAAAAAAUAUAUUAUAUUUUAAUUUUUUUAAAAUAAAUUAUUGCACUUGCGCGACCCGUGCGAACGCACGGGUCCUUUACUAGUUAGAUGUAAAUAAUUUAAAAAGGUGUGUAAUGAGAAACAAAAUAGUAACAUUGUCAUUCAAAUUGGUUAACUAUGUUAGUUUAGUUGAAAAAAAAGUAACUUUUGGAUUAAAAUUACCCAUAUUUUGGUGAGGUAGCAGAAUUAGAGGGAAGGGAAAAAAUGUGUUUUCCAAAACAUUGAAUUUUUUGAUAUUAUAGAUUAAAAUUUAUUUUAGUAAUUGUUGGAAUAAAAGGGUUUUUCAAGAAAGAUGAGAGAAGAAAAUGAAAAAAGAAAGGAGAUAAAUACUCUAAACUUAAUUUGUGAUAAAUGAAGAAAAUCUUUAUUGAGUUAAAUUGUUGUUUACAUCAUACCAUGACUUUUAUAUAGGAAAAUAAAGCCCAAUCCCAAAACUUACAAAGUGAAAAAUAUAAAAAUACAAGUUACACUUCGACAUAACAACUAUAUAUUAUAUUCGACUAUGUCAAAUACAGCUGACUCCUACUACUUCGACUAGCUACUUCGACAUAAUCGAAUGCUAGAUUUCUACAAAACUAUUAAUUACAACUAAAACACCACCUAAUUCAAGUUUUCUAGACUCUGCAUCCCAAUGAUUUUCUUCAACUCGUCGAACCUGACUUUUUUCGAGGUUUUGGUAUAUCAACUAGUUGUCAUUCUUUCUUACAAUGCUCAAGUUCAAGCUUUUACAUGUUAACUUGAUCUCUAAGAAAAUGAUACAUCCUCUCUAUGUAUUUGCUUUUACCAUGACAGAUUAGAUGAUUUGCUAGGUCGAUAACUGACUUGUUGUCGAUAAAAACUUCAUUUUCAUCGGUUCCAUUAUCUUGAGCUCUUCGAGCAACAUCUAUAUCCAUGUUGCUUGACAUGUUGCAUAUGAUGCAACCACAUACUCAGCUUCACAAGAUUACAAUGUUGGUGUAAGCCCUAAAGGUCAAUACUUUUGAUACUUGUAUCGAAUUAUUUAUUAAUAAUAAAAGGCUUUUUCUUUAUUAUGUUUGUUUAAUAAAGUCCCUAGAAUAGCUAGUCCAUUUAAUGUAUCAAGUGUGACUUAAUCAUGAGAUCUCAUUAAACAUAAGGACACUAUUCUUAAAGUAUCCAUAGUCGAGCUUUGUUGUGAAGUGAGAUAAUAUUAAAGCAUUAAGACUAUUGUGUAUAUAGACUGAUGAUCACAUCUCAUGGAUCAUGGAUAAGGAGUUAUCAAGUCUUAAACAUAGGUAUGGAUAUUAGGAGUAAUAUUUAUACCGGAUUGAUCAGCUAUGAGAAUACUACUUAGAAUGUUAUUCAAAGUGUCAUAAGUUAUUCUGAUGGUGAUAGUGGUGUAUACCACCCUUCGACCUGAAACCACUAUGGACCUUAGAUGUAGAGUCAAGUGCUUUAUUGCUAAUCAAAUGUUGUCCGUAACUGGAUGACCAUAAAGACAGUUGAUGGAUACUCCACAAAGCAUGCUAAGGGACAUGAGUGAUCUAGAUGGAAUUUGCCCAUCAUGCAUAACAGGAUAAAUGUCUAAGGGUCCAAUAUUGAACUGGACAAGGAUGACACGUAUAAGACCCUAAUUUUGACCCUAAUAUCCCUCAUGGCAUCAUGUUAUUGCACAAGUGCAUUGCCUCAAGGAUCAUAGCAUGUUUGGCUUUUUAACCCUAGGGUUGGGACUUGUUUGAGUGUUUUGAGACCACCAAGCAUGCUUGUAUUAUAUGUUAUUGCAUUUCUUAUUUUAUUACUAACCAAAAGCACAAAAAUAUGUCAUUAACCCCUUUUUAUUUUGAAGCUCAAGUGAUCAUGUGCUCCACAAUGCUCCUAGGAGGCUCAUAAACCCAAUACAAUGGCUAGAUGAAGAUGGGAAAAAGCAUGACAAUGGUCCACAAAUCUCCUAAUCAUCAUAUAUGUCUCCCAAGUAUCUCAAUUUUCCAAUUUGAUCAAGAUAACCCAAAGGGCUUGAAGAUUGUUUCCCAAGGAAACCCUAAUUUCAUUGUGCUUUAACUGUGCCUUGCCCAUGAAGCAAUCUCAACCUCUGAUCAAAUUUAAUCAAGGGAAGUUCUUUCAUUUACCAUUUUAUGCAUAUAUGAGCCUAUUUGAGGCCCCUCAAUCAUUUAUUCAUCAAUGAAAUAUAACUUUUGAUGUGUUGGUCAAAUGAAGAUGACCCCAAGAGAAAAAAUGUUCCUAAGUAGAAUACGAAAUAUGGUAAGGUACCACACACUUAAGUAAUUUUCGGCAGAUGAAAUUUAGUUUCUCUCUCUCUCUCUCUCUCUCUCUCUCUCUCUCUCUCUCUCUCUCUCUCUCGCACACACAGACAUACACAUACACUUAAAGCCUUCAUUCGUAGCAGCUAGCAUUAAGAUUGAAGGAAUUCGUUCGUGUGGACUGAGUAGAGGCGUUGUCACCAUUCAACGCUCAUGAUCAUUCCUUAGAUCUACAUAAAAGGUUUCAAUCGCCACAAGAGGUAACGGUUUCUAUCACUGAUCAUGCCCAUUCCUAAGGAUCACUAAAGGAAAAAUUUUAAUUUUCGCUGCAAUUUGGAUCGCAAUUUUACUUUAGACAAAUCCAUAAUUCUUUGCUUCCUUAAGCUCCAUGAGAUUGGAGGGCCUUCGAUCAUGAAUAUGUAGCCUGUUAUAUUCUUCUUCUCAUCUUGAUCUCCAUUGAAACAUGAAUCAAUGUAGCCAUAUACCUCUACAUCUGUGUUGAUCUUCUUUUGUCUUGGCAUCAACAUACCAUGAUCAAUCAUACCUUUGAUGUAUCUCAACACUCUUUUGACUAUAAUGGGAUGAAAUUCUUAGGGUUUCUCCACGAAUCUGCUCAACAGCUUGACACUUUAACAACUAUAUGGCCUGGUAUUGCAAAGAUACCUCAAGGAUCUAAUUAUUUAUUUGUAUAAUGUUGCACUUACGAACUCAUCAUUUGUCUACUUCCUCAACUUUGCUCCAAUUUCUAAAGACGUAGCAACUGCAUUACAGUUGCUCAUCUUGAACCUAUUCAAGAUAUAUUGGGAAUGCUUCUUUUGGUGCAGGAACACUCCUUCAUCUAUAUCUUUGAACUUCAUCCCUAAGAAAUAUGACAAAUUCCCUAGGUCGGACGUUUCAAACUCCUACACCAGCUUUGACUUGACUCUUCUUAUCUUUGCUUCAUUUGUACCUGUAAACAACAAGUCAUUUACAUACAUGCAUAAGAUGAUUCGCCUGACUAUAUCUGCAUCAUUGACAUACAUUUCAUGUUAAGUGACACACUUUGUGAAACCUUCUUCGAUCAGAAAGCUAUAUAUUCUCUUAUUCCAAGCUCUCAGGGCUUGCUUCAAACCAUAUAGAGCCUUCCUAAAUUUGUACACAUUCAACUCUUGCCCUUUUAUUUCGAAUCCUGGUGGUUCACCGACAUAGACUUCUUCUUCCAAAGAUCCAUUAAAAAAUGUUGACUUUACAUCCAACUGAUGUACCUUCCACCCUUUGUAUGAUGCUGCCGACACAAUAUUUCUGAUGGUUUCUAGCCUCAAAAUAGGUGCAUACACUUUGUCGAAAUCAAUACCCUGUUUUUACACAAAAUCUCUCGCCACUAGUCUUGCCUUAUGCUUGGAAAUUUCACCGUUUGACCUUCGCUUCACCUUGUAAACCCACUUCAUAUCAAUUGGCUUUUUGAUUGACUCUUCGACAAUCUCACAGGUCUUGUUCUUCUCGAUUUAACUGAGUUCUUCUUUCAUGGUCGCUAACCAAUUUAAAUCAUUCAUGGCUUGAUCCAAAUUGAUUGGUUUCACUUCAUCCAUCAUCAUCACUUCUCCUAUUAAGCCCCACGUGCAUCUACUGCUUGAUCUGGAAAUCUCUCAUAUCCAGCUUGCCUUGUCGACCCAGUUCUUGCUCUAGUCGAUCUUUUGACAUUCUGCUCAGGUGGUUAUUCAUUUCGAUUGGAUGUGGCUUUAGUUUAUUGAUCUUCUUCAAACACAAUUGUGACUGUAUCUAAUUUCUGUCGAUUUGACCCAUGACUCAAAUCCCAUCAUUUGCUUUCAUCUACUAGAACAUCUCGACUGAUCACCAAUUUGUUAGACUAUGGCACAGAUCUAGAAGGGGGGUUGAAUAGAUCCCAAUUAAAAAUUAAGUCAGCGCUACCAAUUUAAAAAUGGUUUUUAAAAUUUGUUUUAAGUGCGGAAGCGUCCGAGGAAAAAUAUAGUCUAAAACGAACCGUUAUUGGAAAACCGGAUAUGCGUCAAGCCAAUGGAUUAGAGAUAAAGUGAAAUACGAAUCACUACACUAUUUGCACAAUCAAUGAUUUGUUUCACUUACUAGGAUUCCUAGUUCCAAUGAUUCAAAUACCAAAUUAAACUAGAUACACACUUAAGAUAAUUUUUGGUUUAGGCAAAUUAUCAAACACUUGGUGUGCCAAAAACACUCCAAGUGAUAUUUGUGUUGAGUAAGUGAUUCCAAUUAAUCUAGUACAAUGUCCUAUUGUACUUUGGAUUCAAAAACAGAGUUUUAACCUCUUACUCAAUUAAUAUCAAUGUUUGGUAAAAGUGCUUAUACUAAAAUUUCUUAAUUUUUAAGCUGAAAAACAAUUAUGCAGAAAAUUAAAGAAGACACAGAUUUGAUGAGGCAGUUCCCCCGCCGUCCUCGCUUCGGGGUACGUCUGCCCUCAAUUCUAAAAUUAGAAUUGAGAUGAUUUAAUUAGAUAUCACCUGUAGAAUUUAACCGUUUAUACAAGGAUUGCAAAGCAGGUAAACAACUGAACUCUCAAGAUGUUGAAUGUUGCUUCNNNNNNNNNNNNNNNNNNNNNNNNNNNNNNNNNNNNNNNNNNNNNNNNNNNNNNNNNNNNNNNNNNNNNNNNNNNNNUGAUGAAGACUUCCUCUUCUCAAUCACCUUCGCUCAGCUGAAUAUUGAUGAAGCAAUUCGUCCAAAAACCCCCAAACACAAACCGGUCUUGGAGGACAAAACCCUAACGGUUUUAUUCAAGAAAGAACCUGCCACAAGCUUCAACCCGAACCGGAUUCUCCAAUCUCGGCUUCGAACCUUAUCACCUUUAACCGAUCACGAAGCACAUCAAAAAUGGUUGUGUGUAGUUGAUGUGUUGUGAGAUGUUGAAGAUGAAGAUGAUGAAUCUUGGACACCUAUUUCACUUUUUCUUGUUUCCUUGAACACUUGAAAUCAAUUUGACAAAUGUUAGUUGAUAAAAGUAAUUUGACUUCUAUUUAUAGUAACUAGCUUACCAACCAAAAAUAACAGCUUUUCAAACAGUGGAAAAUACUCAGAAAACUGAGUUUACGCACGAGCGGUCGACCAUAGGUCGGCGUGCGCUGACCCGUGGGAAAUGCGCCGACCCCUAUGGUCGACUCAAGUGUUCCAUGCGCUGACCCGUGGCCAACAGCACUAUGCCAUGCGCCGACCUGUGGUCGACUCAAGCAAACAUGCGCUGACCAGUCACCAACUGGUCUGUGUUAUGCGCUGACCCGUGGGAGAUGCGCCGACCCCUAUGGUCGACUUAAAGCCUGCAAAUCUGCAAAAAUUCGUAUUUUGUGGUUUUCAUGUGUUUCGUCAUGAUCACACGUUAUCCACAUAUGUUUUAUGAAAUAUAGCAGAUUUAGAUAAGCAUAGAGAAGGAUAUGAUAAGUGAUGUGUUACAUUUGUUUGUAGACGUGGAAUCGACAAUGCCGAUUUGUCCAUGAUGGUCAUUUGUCAUCAUCGAAACUUGUGAUUGUAUGUUGUCUGACAAUUUGCCCUUACAUACUCCCCCUUUUUGAUGAUGACAACCUGUGCAAAACCAAAGAGACAAACAACAUGCAGUAUUGACACAUUAUGCACACUCCCCCUUUCUUUUGUAAUCUAAGGCUAUCUGCAAAAAACGACUGUUAAUUGUGCUGUUAAUUGUGGUGAACAUUUUGGCUGCUUUGUACACUUUCUCCCCCUUUGACAACAUCAAAAAGAGACAAGGAAUGAUUAUUCAACGUAACAUAAAAUUCAACAGGAAAUAACACAAUCAGAUGAUAAUAUCACACCAAAUAUCAUUACUGAACGAUAAUCAUUAAUUAAAGGAAGAUACACAUUAAAAUUAAUGUUGCACAAACAAGCAUGACAGAGAAAUGAAUACAUACAAACAACAAGCAAAUUUAGAUGCAUAUGCAGUCCUAUGUACUAAUGGUGUCGUCCUCGAUGGUAGCAGAUAUCCGGGUUUCGGUAGGGGUCAGCCAGCGACGAUAUUUGGUCAGCAAUCCCUCCUAGAUACUUGAGACCCCCGUCGACCGCCCGUUCCUGGCGCUCAAACGUUUCGGUAAAUGUAGCAUACCGUUCAUUCAUGCUUGUAGAAAGGUUAUCAAGCCUCUCAUUUUGCGCUUGAAUUUGGCUGCUAAUAUGAGCAUAGCGCUCAUCCUGAGUUUGCAUGAAGGAUUGUUGAGUGAGCUGCAUAUUUCGCAUCAUAUCCAACAAUUCGGAAGAGUUUUCAUGUUGUGGAGGAGACGGAGGAGAUUCUUCAUCAUCAUGGUGAUACGGCUGGUAGAAUUGAUGUUGUGUUGACCAGCCAGUAUGUUGCCAUUCACCCCAGCCACCCUGGUUGGAGGCAUCUUCUUCAGUUGAAUGUGAAUGCUGAACCCAAGCGGAGUCGGAGUAGUCGUGAGUGACAACUUGUGGAGGACUAUUAUCUCCACCAUGGUGAUCAAAGGCUUGUCCUGCUUCCUCUUCUUCAUUUUCCUCUUCAUCUUCUUCUUCUUCACUUUCAUCACUGUCAUCAUCUGCUGCAACAGGCGCAGGAACAUUUCCUCUUCGAACAAACUUGUACAUCCUUCGCUCAUCACACCAAAAAUAUCCCAUCAUAGACAGAGUUUUUGGGCUGAACUCUUUGUCUGAUGAGAUGGAGGUAUACGGAAAGGACGGAUGAUUGACAUCGGCUGCAGUAAGGACCUCUUGAAUGAAAGAUCCGUAGGCAAGAGCCGUUCCUCGUCCGGAAUCACGUAGGCUGAACAUCCUAUUGGCAAUGUAGUAGGGCCAGUUGAUUUUCUGCUUACUCUUCAGAAUGUACAUGAGAUGAACCUCAGCCUGUUCAACUCUGGAGAGACCACCCUUCUUUGGUCGCAGGAUGCGUGAGACAAUCCACUGAAGAAUCCGUUCUCCUGUUUUCAGCUUGCCGGCAGUGACAGUUCGUGGGAACGAGUCACUGUUAACAAUAUGAUCAGGAUAUGGUCGUUUCAGCAUAUCGCUCAACGCACUCCUGAACUCGUAACCUUCUAUUUGGUGAGAGUCGGUUACCUCAGCUAGAGGAUUCUCAGCAUCAUCCAAUGACAUAUCAAAAUAUUUGUUCCAAACGUUUGACUUAAACGAUACCUUUGUCGUGUCGAUCCUGGAGUGAAACUUGUGCCCGCGAAAUUUAUCAUGAAGGCCGGCGUAGAACACUCGGACUAAGUCUUCGCUGUAUUUAGCAUUGCAUUCCAAGAAUUUGACAAUGCCUUGAUGCUGUAGCAGAGCCAUGAUUUCUAUGAGGUGCAUGCGUUCGGCGGUAAGCUUGUAGAAAGCAUGUUGUCGUACAACUCCUCUUUUGCCGAUAUCUUUGUUGAAGGAUUCGAUGCGAGCCGGUGGAACUAGCGACACAGCAGAGAUGGGUAGAGAUGCGGCGGAUGAUUCCCGGGAUCUCUUGCCGGUGGGUCUGCGAGAUGUGGAAGCCAUUUGAACAGAUUUGAAGCUUAGUGUGUGUGGGAGUAGAGUGAAGCUUGGUGAGGGUUUUUGAGAGAGAUUUUGCUAGAGAGUGGUUUUCCCUUUUUGUAGAUGAGAAGUUAGGGUUUUGGGAAGAGGAAAGAUCAAGGGACAAAAGACACUUGGUAGAUGCAAGUUACAAGGUAGUGGGAAGUUUGAAAUGUAAUGGAAUGUAAAUGCACACUUAAUGAUGAUUUUUGAAUGUAGAUGCAUGAGAAGGUUGAAGGUUUUCUGCAGAAAAACAGAAUUUUUGAGCGAUGCGUCGACCAUACCUCUGUAUGCAUCGACGCAUACUGUUUGAUUUUUGAAAAAUCACAAAAAAAUGUUAAGUGUGCGUCGACCAUAGCCUUGUUACGGUCGACUCAUACAGACAAAAUUUCAGUUUUUCACUAUUCUGCACAUACGUUGACAAGUUUGAUGCAUAAUUAGAAUGCCAUACAACAAUAAACAUCCAAAGAGAUACAUCAUGCAUAUAUAUACAAUAUCAUUAUGUAGUAUAGCUAUUUAACCAUGAAACUUUGCAGAGAGAGAGAGAGAAGGGAACAGUAUCACCUCGAUGCCGAAGUAACUCGGUGAACAAUAAACUUGUGCUUGCAACAACAUCAACUUGUUAGAAGUACAAGAUUAUAGUCUUAAAUGAAAAUAAGGUAAAACCAGCAGAUUAUAAUGCCCGUUCCGAAAUAUCGAGAAUACCAAGUUCUCGGCGGAUAUGAAAGAAAGGUUCAGUGGCUAGCGGCUUUGUGAAGAUGUCCGCUAGUUGAUUUUCAGUAUUAACAUGUUCAAAUACAAUGUCACCUUUCUCUACAUGAUCCCGAAGAAAGUGGUGUCGAAUUUCGAUAUGUUUGGUGCGAGAAUGUAGCACAGGAUUCUUGGUCAGGUUAAUGGCACUUGUAUUGUCACAAAAAAUGGGAAUACGUUCAAGUUUGAGGUUAAAAUCCAAUAGUUGUUGCUUAAUCCAUAGGAUUUGGGCACAACAACUACCGGCGGCAACGUAUUCCGCUUCGGCGGUUGACAAAGCAACUGAAACCUGUUUCUUGCUAUGCCAACUGACCAAAGAGUUUGAAAAUAAGUGACAAGUGCCACUGGUGCUCUUCCUAUCCGAUUUGCAACCGGCAAAGUCGGAAUCGGAAAAACCUACCAAUGAACAAUCAUUACCUUUGGAAUACCAUAGUCCAUACUUCGGAGUACCGGAUAGGUAUCGAAGUAUUCGUUUGACGGCUUUUAAAUGGGAUUCCUUGGGACAUGAUUGAUAUCUUGCGCACAUGCAUACGCUAAACAUAAUAUCGGGACGAGAAGCAGUAAGAUAAAGGAGUGAACCAAUCAUACCUCUAUACCGUUUUACAUCUACUUCCUUACCGUCUUCAUCUUUGUUCAAGUUGGUACACGUAGGCAUGGGGGUGUCUAUGGCCUUAGCUUUUGCCAUGUCAAAUCUCUUGAUAAGGUCCAAACAGUACUUUGUCUGGCUCACGAAAGUUCCUUCUUUGAGCUGUUUAAUUUGCAGACCGAGAAAGUAUGUGAGCUCCCCCAUCAUACUCAUCUCGAAUUCGCCCUGCAUAAGGUCAGAAAACUCUCUCACAAGAUUCAUGUUAGUAGAUCCAAAAAUGAUAUCAUCUACAUAAAUUUGCACUAAUAUCAAGUGCUUUCCUUGACGUUUAAUGAAGAGGGUUGUGUCAACCUUUCCUCUUGAGUAACCUUGAUCGAGUAAGAAUUUGCUUAGUCUCUCAUACCAAGCUCUAGGAGCUUGUUUGAGGCCAUACAAAGCCCUUUUUAGUUUAUAAACAUGAUCAGGAUACUCAUGGGAUUCGAAACCCGGAGGUUGUGCGACAUAAACUUCUUCAUUUAUGUGACCGUUAAGGAACGCGCUCUUAACAUCCAUUUGGAAUAGCUUAAAGUCCUUUGCACAAGCGAAGGCAAGGAGAAGGCGUAUAGCCUCGAGUCGGGCAACCGGCGCAUAAGUUUCCUCAUAGUCGAUGCCUUCCUCUUGGUUAUACCCUUGCGCGACUAAACGCGCCUUAUUACGGGUUAUUACCCCGUUUUCGUCCAGCUUGUUCCUAAACACCCAUCGGGUGCCGAUUACUCGAUGAUCUCGCGGAGGAGGGACAAGGUCCCAAACCUCAUUUCUAGUGAACUGAUUAAGUUCCUCCUGCAUUGACAAAAACCAGUGUUCAUCGAGUAGGGCUUCUUUAGGGUUUUUAGGUUCCAUCUGCGAAACGAAAGCGAAGUGAUAACAGAAAUUACUUAGCUUAGAUCGAGUUGUUACACCCUUUGAGAUAUCUCCGAGAAUGUUGUCGAUUGGAUGGUCUUUGGAAGACUUCCAAGCUUGAGGGAGAUCAUCGUUUGAAGGCGGAUGAACUACCUCGGUUUCCUCAUGGUGUACAUCUUUGUCCUCCUCAAUUUUGACUAUGUCGGGUUGAUCAAUCCCCGGCUCGCCACCUUUGAGUAUGUCUUCGGUAGAUGUACCUGCACCAUGAAAAACACUACCCUUUCCGACGUUUCUCGGAUUGGAUUCAUCAAAAGUGACAUGUACAGACUCUUCUACAGUAAGUAAUCGUUUGUUGUAUAUUCUAUAUGCUUUGCUAGAUUGAGAGUAUCCGAGGAAGAUACCUUCGUCGGCCUUGGAAUCGAAUUUCCCUAAGUUUUCCUUUCCAUUGUUCAAUACAAAACAUUUGCAACCAAAAACAUGUAAGUGAGAAACAUUUGGCUUUCGCCCUUUUAAAAGUUCAUACGGUGUUUUAUUUAGAAUGGGGCGAAUGAGCACCCUAUUCAGAACAUAACAAGCCGUACUAAUGGCGUCGGCCCAAAAAUAUUUCGGUAAGCCACUUUCGUUGAUCAUUGUUCUUCCCAAUUCUUCCAAAAUUUGAUUUUUAUGCUCCACAACCCCAUUUUGUUGAGGAGUACGUGGAGCGGAGAAGUUAUGAUCAAUACCAUGGUUACCGCAAUAUUCUUCAAAUAAAUGAUUUUCGAACUCACCCCCAUGGUCGCUUCUAAUUGCAACAAUGCUUGUAUUUAAUUUAUUUUGGGAAAGCUUAGCAAAUCUUUCAAAGGCGGCGAACGUAUCGCUCUUGCUUGCUAAAAAGAUAGUCCAACAAAAUCUAGAAAAGUCGUCCAUUAUUACGAAACUUUUAUUUUGGGGAGACCUAAGACUAGAUCUUUUGAGACUACUUUAUUUAGUAAAUCAAAAUUAACAUGUGCUAAACGCCUAUGCCAUAACCAUGAAUCUUCACUCAUUGUUACAAGGCAUUGUCACUUGUUAACGAUACUUCAUUUAAGUCAAGCAUAUAAACAUUAUUCACACGCAGGCCAUUAAACAUACUCUUCUUAUCAUCAUUAUGUACAAUUUUGCAACAAUCUUUUGAAAACGAUACAUUGUAUCCUUUGUCACAUAAUUGACUGAUGUUAAGUAGAUUGUUUAACAUAUUUAUAUUUUUGAUAUGGAUUAACCAUACUUUUUCGAAAGUUUGAUUUAUCGAUGGCAAAGGUAAUCUUGGGCUCAAGAGCCUUGUCAAGUUUGGCCUUUAGGUUUCUUACUUCACCUUGCCAAAUAUAACAAGUGUCACACCCAAAGAUUAUCAUCCUACUUCUAAGGUCCUCAUAACCUGCUUUUGUGCUUUCUACUAUAGAAGCUUUAAGUGCCUCAAGUUUCCUUUUGGAUUCUCGAAUUUUUUGUUCCAAAUGAGUAAAAAUUUUGUUAUUUGAGGCAAGCAUUUUAAAGGCCUCUUUAGCUUCAUAGUGUAAAGUAUCAAAUGCAGUUUGUAAUUCAUGAUGAGACAUACUAGAGAAUUUUUCAUAUUUAGCCUGUCGUACCUGUUUCUUUUUGUUCUUUUGAUGAGCAGAGAGACAUAGGUUUGCAUUUUCAUCUUCAUCACUAGAACUUUCAUCAUCGGAGGAGUCGCUAUCGUUUUCCCAAGCUAUGUAUGCUCUCCUUGGCUUUGAUGGUUUCUUGUGUGAUUUGUAUGAUUCCUUUUCCUUUGUCUUCUUGUUCAUCGGACAGUCCGGUUUGUAAUGAUCGGGCUUUCCACACGUAUAGCACGACCCUCUAGUAAUUUUACCUUUUGAGUCAUCACUUUUAGAGUACCUAGAUUGUUUCCGGAAGUUUACCAAGUUCUUCUCAGAAUGUUGGAUGCCGUUCUUUCUCACGUAACGAUUGUAGCAUUUAACGAACAACCCCAUAUCUUCGCUCUUGUCCUCUUCUUCUUCGUCGCUCGAUGAAUAAUCACUUUGCUCUUUUGCUUGAGACUUCGAGGAGGAAGUCUUUAGAGCUAUCGAUUUCUUUUUACUCACCUUUGCUUUGUCCCUCUUAUCUUUCUUUUCAUGUUGUUCUAGGCUCAAGAGUACUUGUUCGUGCUCUUGUAGUUUGCCAAAUAAUGUUGUCAAGUCUAAUGUGGUAAGAUCAUUUGCUUCUUUGAUGGCGGUCACUUUCGGCUGCCAUUCCCUGUUAAGACAUCUCAAGAUCUUAUUAGUAGCAACAUCAUUGGAAACCGGCCUACCAAGUGAAUGUAAUCGAUUGAUAAGAUGAGUAAAUCUCUUUUGCAUGUCAGCAAUGGUUUCCCCUUGCUCCAUGAAAAAGAGAUCAAACUCUUGUGUUAGUGUGUUGAUUCUUGCCAACUUAACAUCGUUCGUCCCCUCAUGGGCAAUUUGUAGUGAAUCCCACAUGGCCUUAGCAGUAGGACAAUGGGAUACACGAUAGUAUUCAUCUACACCUAAUGAGGAGAUUAGGAUAUUUUUGGCUUUCCAAUCAUAAUUGUAUUUCUUUUCAUCAUCAUCGGUCCAUUGUGCUUUGGGCUUAGGCACUAAUUCAUUGUUCUCAUUGGUCAUGGUUAUUUCAAUUGGACCAUUGAGAAUAACGUUCCAUAUUUUUCUAUCUAUGGAAUUUAUGUGCACCCGCAUACAUUCUUUCCAAUAACUAUAAUUUUCACCAUUGAAAACGGGAGCUCUAUUAUAAGCCCCUUUAGGUUCGUUAGCCAUUUUCUAUCAAAGUUAUAUUUUGAAGCACAGAGUUAACCGGAGCUCUUGAUACCACUUGUUAGACUAUGGCACGGAUCUAAAAAGGGGGGGGGGGUUGAAUAGAUCCCAAUUAAAAAUUAAGUCGGCGCUACCAAUUUAAAAAUGGUUUUUAAAAUUUGUUUUAAGUGCGGAAGCGUCCGAGGAAAAAUAUAGUCUAAAACGAACCGUUAUUGGAAAACCGGAUAUGCGUCAAGCCAAUGGAUUAGAGAUAAAGUGAAAUAUGAAUCACUACACUAUUUGCACAAUCAAUGAUUUGUUUCACUUACUAGGAUUCCUAGUUCCAAUGAUUCAAAUACCAAAUUAAACUAGAUACACACUUAAGAUAAUUUUUGGUUUAGGCAAAUUAUCAUUUUCCUGAGUAUUUUCCACUGUUUGAAAGCUGUUAUUUUUGGUUGGUAAGCUAGUUACUAAAUAGAAGUCAAAUUACUUUUAUCAACGAACAUUUGUCAAAUUGAUUCAAGUGUUCAAGAAACAAGAAAAAGUAAAAUAGGCGUCCAGAUUCAUCAUCUUCAUCUUCAACAUCCUCACAAACACAUCAACUCACACAACCAUUUUUGAUGUGCUUCCGUGAUCGGUAAAGGUGAUAGGUUCGAAGCCGAGAUUGGAGAAUCCGGUUCGGGUAAGCUUGUGCAGGUUUUCUUGAAUAAAACCGUUAGGUUCCUCCAAGACCGGUUGUGUUUGGGGUUUUGGACGAAUUGCUUCACAAUACUCAGCUGAGCGAAGUGAUUAGAAAGGAAGUCUUUAUCAGUCUAGUAGCGGAUUCCGUGAUAUGAAGGGAAGAACUGGGUUCGAUUCGUUGUGGUGAGAUCAGCCGGCCAGGGUUUGAAGAACGGAAGGAUUCUUCAACAAAGGGCUGGAAUCGGAGGUCUAUCAACAACAAUCGAAGGUAUUGAUUCAUCUUGAAUCAAGGAAAAGGAGAAGAAGCAACAUUCAAACAUCUUUGAGAGGUUCAGUUGUACUUGUUUGCAAUCCUUGUUUAAAACGCGUUAAAUUCUACCAGGUGGUAUCUAAUUUAAUCAUCUCAUUUCUAAUUUUAGAUUGAGGGCAACGUACCCCAAGCGAGGACGGCGGGACUGCCCUCAUAAUCUGUGUUCUUCUUUAAUUUUCUUGCUAAUUGUUUUUCAAACUUAAAAAUUAAAGUAAUUUAGUAUAAGCACUUUUACCAAAACAUUGAUAUUAAUUGAGUAAGAGGUUAAAACUCUGUUUUUGAAUCCAAAGUACAAUAGCGACAUUUACUAGAUUAAUGAAUCACUUACUCCAACACAAAUUAUUUCACUUGGAGUGUGGUUUUGGCCACCAAGUGUUUUUGUAAAAUUUGGCCUAAACCAAAAAUUUAUGGCUUAAGGUUGUGAUCUAGGUUUUAAAUUUGGUAUUUGAAUCAUUUGGUAAAAACUAGGGAUCUAGUUUAGUGGAAAAACCAAAUUCACUGUGAUUGUCAAAUAGUCUAGUAUUUCAUUAUUCACUUUCUUAAUCCAAUUGGCUUGACGGCAUGUAUCGGUUUUCCCGAAUAACGGUUCGUUUUUUUAGACUAUAUUUUUCCUCGGACGCUUCCGCACUUAACAAAUUUUAAACCAUAUAAUAUAUAUAAUAAGAUAUAAUAGACGAACACAGACAUAUAUAUAUUAAUGGAUCUAUUAUCAACCCCAUACCUAUUUAGAUUCCAGUGCCAUAGUUCUAACAAGUGGCUAUCAAGAGCUCCUGUUAACAUCUAUCUUCUCUCUUUAUAUNAAACCCCCAAACACAAACCGGUCUUGGAGGACAAAACCCUAACGGUUUUAUUCAAGAAAAAACCUGCCACAAGCUUCAACCCGAACCGGAUUCUCCAAUCUCGGCUUCGAACCUUAUCACCUUUAACCGAUCACGAAGCACAUCAAAAAUGGUUGUGUGUAGUUGAUGUGUUGUGAGAUGUUGAAGAUGAAGAUGAUGAAUCUUGGACACCUAUUUCACUUUUUCUUGUUUCCUUGAACACUUGAAAUCAAUUUGACAAAUGUUAGUUGAUAAAAGUAAUUUGACUUCUAUUUAUAGUAACUAGCUUACCAACCAAAAAUAACAGCUUUUCAAACAGUGGAAAAUACUCAGAAAACUGAGUUUACGCACGAGCGGUCGACCAUAGGUCGGCGUGCGCUGACCCGUGGGAAAUGCGCCGACCCCUAUGGUCGACUCAAGUGUUCCAUGCGCUGACCCGUGGCCAACAGCACUAUGCCAUGCGCUGACCUGUGGUCGACUCAAGCAAACAUGCGCUGACCAGUCACCAACUGGUCUGUGUUAUACGCUGACCCGUGGGAGAUGCGUCGACCCCUAUGGUCGACUCAAAGCCUGCAAAUCUGCAAAAAUUCGUAUUUUGUGGUUUUCAUGCGUUUCGUCAUGAUCACACGUUAUCCACAUAUGUUUUAUGAAAUAUAGCAGAUUUAGAUAAGCAUAGAGAAGGAUAUGAUAAGUGAUGUGUUGCAUUUGUUUGUAGACGUGGAAUCGACAAUGCCGAUUCGUCCAUGAUGGUCAUUUGUCAUCAUCGAAACUUGUGGUUGUAUGUUGUCUGACAAUUUGCCCUUACACAAUUUAUCAUCAUUCAUUGAUUACAACUUGUAUGCACCAACCGAAUGAUAACCUAUAAGCAUCAUAGCCUGCCUUCGGUCAUCUAGUUUCUUUCUCAAUUGUUCAGAUACAUGCCUAAAGCAUAUUUAUCCAAAGACUCUAAGAUGACUAACAAUCGGCUCCACGCUUGUCUAAGCCUCAUAAGGAGUCCUUUCAACUAUCUUAUUGGUUGGACAUCUGUUUAGAAUGUAUACUAUUGUCGAAGCUGCUUCACCCAAAAUAUCUUUGACAUAUCUUUAGCUUUGAACAUGCUCCUAGCAAUAUUCAAUCUACUUCGAUUCUUCUUUUCAGUUAUGCCAUUAUGUUGAGGUGUAUAUGGUGAAAUGACCUAAUGCUUUAUAAUUUCGUUAUUCAAAAUCUAGAAAAUUAUUGAGAAGUGUAUUCACUAUAACACCCAUUUUUCUACCCCAAAAUACUUAACAUUAAUCAGAGUAAAUAAGCACGCAUAUAAACAAAAGGGCGUCAUAUCGACGUUUUCAAAAACUAAAAGCUUUCAAAAACCAACCUCAUUCAUCAUCAAUACACCUGGUCAUUUAAAAUAACACAUUUCAAUUAUCAUGAAUAUUCAAGGAUAUGUGUUCACAGCGGAAAAUAAUGAAUACUCAUGUAUUUCAUAAAAUGAUCCAUGUCCCAUACCAUGAUCAUCUCUCAAUAAUCACCUCAAGAUAAAAUAAAACAACUAAUAACCUAAUGCAUAUCCAAAUAAGAUAUGAGUUCAAUACUACUAAUCUACCCAGUGUUACAUGACCAGAGCAUUGACUCAUUACCUAGUCUUCAAACUAAAAUACGGAAACUCUCCGGCUAAUCUCGAGCGAGCUACCGUCCACUUACUUCAGCAAUACUACUCUGGAGUAUCUGCACGAUGCCGUGUAAAGCAUCAUUCCAACAGAAGGGUGAGAAUUCAAAUCAUUAUGAAGAAGUAUAAUAAAGCACAAUGAUUAAAUCAACAAUUAAAGGAAUCCAUCACACAUUUUGCCAAAUUAUGUAUUCAAACAUCACCAAACUCAAUCACCAUAUUUCAUACACACAUCACAAUCACAACAAUGCAUACACGCGAUGAUCACAAAACUCUAAUGUGACUCAAUGCAAGACAUGUGACUCUAUGCAUGUGGUACCUCAAUGUGAACCCAACGUUUCACCGCUUUCUGAUUCAAUAUCUAGAAUCCAAGCCACGCUUUCGAUCCGGACAAGAUCAAAGCCACUACCACGCCCAUUUCCAAUUAAGGAUCAAGGUGUGCUACGUCUAUUUCCAAUUAAGGAUCACCGUCUACUACUACGCCUAUUUCCAAUUAAGGAUCAACGUAUGCUACGUCUAUUUCCAAUUAAGGAUCACCGUCUACUACUACGCCUAUUUCUAAUUAAGGAUCAACGUAUGCUACCAUGUGAACCCACGGUUUCACCGCCUCCACUAUGAAGCCGACCAUGCCAUGAAUGAAUGUACAAAUACCAAUACAUAUGCAAUUAAGAUCAUCUCUACCAUUUUAACAUUCCACAUAUCACCAUAAUUCAACUCUAUGAAUUAUCCACCAAUGGUACAUCUACCAUUUUAACAUUCCACAUAUCACCAUAAUUCAACUCUAUGAAUUAUCCACCAAUGGUACAUAUACACAUUCAUAACAAUUACACCAUUCACAUAAUAUGCAAUUAAGAUCAUCUCUACUAUCUAAACAUUCCACAUAUAACCAUAAUUCAACUCUAUGAAUUAUCCACCAAUAGUACAUAUACACAUUCAUCACAAUCCACUAUUCACAUAUAUAUGUUAAUUAUCAAAUACACACACCUAGUUUUCAUUCCAAAUUGAGUACAACUUUUAAAAUCUCAAUUUUUCACUUUUCACAGCAAGUAACCGGUUAACGCUCGGUGGGUAACCGGUUAACAUAAAAUAGAAUUAAUUUCCUGCGCAAAUUUUCAAGCAAGUAACCGGUUAACGCUCGGCGGGUAACCGGUUAACACAAAAAUAGAAUCAACAGAUUUUUAAGCAAGUAAUCGGUUAACGCUCGGUGGGUAACUGGUUAACAUAAAACAGAAUGCAGAUUUUUAAGCAAGUAACCGGUUAACGCUCGGUGGGUAAUCGGUUAACACAAAAACAACAUGCAGAAUUUUCUGCAUUUUUCAUCGUUGAAGGACUUUCGGACCUCCGAUUUCUAUUCCGUAAAAAGCCAAACAUUCAGAAAAUCAUGACUCAUACACUACUCUAAGUAUAUAACGUAAAUUUGCAGUUUAACACAAUCAAAUCACCACAAAUCAAGAAUACUCAUCAAACCUAACAAUUUCAAACAACCAUACAAAAUUAGGGAUUUUAACCUAAACAUACAUCUACCCCUUGACCCAAUCAUACUAACCCAUAAUAAUAACGAUUCUCCCCCUUACCUCUUCAAUUUUCUGGAAACCUUAGCUUCCCUCUUGUUCUUCCCCUCUUCUCCUUAUUUCUCCUCUUUCUUUCUCUAUUGCCUUCAAUGAGCUAAUGAAUCCUAAUUCUCACUCUCAUACCUCUUAUAUAUAGUAUUAUAUUUGGGCUUAAAGAGUGAUACCUCCAAUUUAAUUAAUAGGCCCAAUAAGACCUAAUAUUUAGAUGUCUCUAAUUAGUUCAAUUAAAUUAAACUAACACAAUAUACACACCAAGUUAAUUAAUUCCAUUAUUCAUUAUACCUCAUAUCAACUAAAUAAUUAAUUAACACACCAAAUUAAUUAAUAUAAUCGAUUAUUAUACUACCUAGCAACCAAUUAAUUAAUUAACACUCCAAAUAGAUAAAAUAAAAUAUAGUGAUAAUAAUAUAAGAAAUAAAUACUAAAAUUGGGUUGUUACAACUCUCCCCCACUUAAAAGAUUUUCGGCCUCGAAAAUUUACCUCAAACGAAAAACUCCGGAUACGAUUCCUUCAUCUUAUCCUCGAGUUCCCAAGUAAUAUUGCCAUUGGCGACUCCUCCCCAUAUCACUUUCACCAAAGCAAUCUCCUUACCACGAAGCUUCUUCACUUCUCGAUCUUCAAUUCGCAUAGGUGAUGUAUCAACCGUCAAAUUAUCCCUCACUUGAACAUCAUCUAAUGGAACAACAUGCGAUGGAUCCGCAAUGUACCUCCUCAAUUGAGACACAUGGAACACAUCAUGAAGAUUAGAAAGUGACGGUGGUAAUGCAAUCCGAUAUGCCAUUUCACCUACCCUCUCGGAAAUCUGAUAAGGACCAAUGAAACGCGGCGUCAACUUACGCGACUUCAAAGCUCUACCAACACCCGUUAUUGGCGUAACUCGAAGAAACACAUGCUCAUCUUUCUCAAACUCAAGAGCUUUCCUCCUCUUAUCAUGAUAACUCUUUUGACGACUCUGAGAAGCCUUCAUCUUCUCUUGAAUCAUCUUAAUCUUAUCCGUAGUCUCUUGAAUCAACUCGGGUCCAACCACAACACUCUCUCCCGAUUCGUACCAACAUAAAGGAGUUCUACACCUUCUACCAUAAAGAGCCUCAAAAGGUGCCAUUCCAAUACUCGAAUGGAAACUGUUGUUAUACGUAAACUCGAUCAAAGGCAAGAAACUAUCCCAAUUUCCUCCUUGUUCCAAAACACAAGACCUCAAAAGAUCUUCAAGUGACUGAAUAGUCCUCUCCGUUUGACCAUCAGUUUGCGGAUGAUAUGCCGAACUCAAACGCAACUUCGUACCCAAAGCACUUUGCAAACCUUCCCAAAAUCUCGAAGUGAACCUCAGAUCUCUAUCCGAAACAAUGCUCGACGGAAUACCAUGUAAACACACAAUCCUUUCGAUGUACAACUUAGCAAGUCUCUCCAUCGAAUAAUCCAUCCUCAUCGGAAUAAAAUGAGCAUAUUUCGUCAACCUGUCCACAACGAUCCAAAUCGCCUCACAAUUACUCAAUAUCCUCGGCAAGCCCGAAACAAAAUCCAUAGAGAUACUAUCCCACUUUCACUCGGGAAUAGAUAACGGUUGCAUCAAACCAAACGACUUUUGAUGUUCAAUCUUUGACUUUUGACAAGUCAAACAUGAAUACACAAAUUCCGCUACAUCUUUCUUCAUACCUUGCUACCAAAACAUCUUCCUCAAGUCUUGAUACAUCUUAGUAGCACCAGGGUGAAUACUCAAACCACUUCUAUGCCCUUCCUCCAGAAUCCUCUUUCUCAAAUCCGCAACAUCCGGAACACAAACUCGAUCACGACACCUCAUGAUACCAUUCUCAUCAAUCCGAAAGUCACCACCUUUACCUUGAUUAAUCAAUGUCAUAACAUCGACUAAUUUCAAAUCUGACUUCUGACCUUCUCUAAUCUCGUCAAGAAUGCCACACGUAAGCUUCAACAUACCAAGCUUAACACACGAAGACGUCGCUUCACAAACCAAACUCAAAUCUCUAAAUUGCUCCAACAAUUCAAACUCUCGAAUCAUCAACAUAGACAUGUGCAAUGACUUCCUACUCAAUGCAUCGGCUACAACAUUCGCCUUUCCAGGAUGAUAAUUCAAACCAAAAUCAUAAUCUUUCAAGAAUUCCAACCAUCUCCUUUGCCUCAUAUUCAAUUCUUUCUGAUCGAACAAGUACUUCAAACUCUUGUGAUCACUAAACACAUCAAACCUCGAUCCAAACAAAUAAUGUCUCCAAAGCUUCAACACAAACACAACGGCGACCAACUCUAAAUCAUGCGUCGGAUAAUUCCUCUCAUGAACUUUAAGUUGCCUUGAAGCAUAAGCUACCACUUGCCCUUUUUGCAUCAAAACACCUCCCAAACCCAACAAAGAAGCAUCACAAUACACAACGAAAGUUUCUAACGGAUCCGGUAAAAUCAAAAUAGGAGCCGUAGUCAAUCUUCUCUUAAGCUCUUGAAAAUUCGCUUCACACUGCGAAGUCCAAAUGAAAGCUUGACCUUUCCUAGUCAACUGCGUCAAUGGUAACGACAACUUAGAAAAUCCUUCAAUGAACUUCCUAUAAUAACCAGCCAAACCAAGGAAACUUCUAAUCUCAGCAACAGACUUAGGAGCUUCCCACUGAGAUACAACUUCAAUCUUCUUAAGAUCCACAAAAAUACCACCACUCGAAAUCACAUGUCCAAGAAAACUUACUUCACUCAACCAAAACUCACAUUUGGAGAGUUUAGCAACCAACUUCCUCUCUUUCAACACCGAUAACGCAACCUUCAAAUGCUCGGCAUGAUCCUCUUUACUCUUGGAAUAAAUCAAUAUAUCAUCGAUGAACACAACAACAAACUUAUCCAGAUAAUCAUGAAAAAUUCUAUUCAUAUACUCCAUAAAUACACCAGGUGCAUUAGUCACACCAAAAGGCAUCACGGAGUACUCGUAGUGACCGUACCUUGUUCGAAAAGCAGUCUUUUGAAUAUCCUCAGCCUUUACACGAAUCUGAUGAUGCCCAGACCUCAAAUCAAUUUUGCUAAACACACAAGCUCCAACCAGCUGAUCCAUCAGAUCGUCAAUCCUCAAAAGUGGAUACUUGUUCUUAAUCGUCACUUUAUUCAGUUGUUUAUAAUCAACACAUAAUCUCAUAGAACCUUCUUUCUUCUUGACCAACAGAACAGGUGCACCCCACGGCGACACACUAGGACAAAUAAACCUCUUCUCGAGCAAGUCUUCAAGUUGACUCUUCAACUCUUUCAGCUCAGAAGCAGACAUUCUAUAGGGAGCCAUCGAUACAGGACUAGUUCCAGGAACUAAAUCAAUCGAAAACUCAACCUCACGUUCCGGCGGUAAAUCACUUAUAUCUUCAGGAAAUACCUCCGCAAACUCGAUACAGGACUAGUUCCAGGAACUAAAUCAAUCGAAAACUCAACCUCACGUUCCGGCGGUAAAUCACUUAUAUCUUCAGGAAAUACCUCCGCAAACUCACAAACUAUUGGCAAUUCUCCAAUCGUCCUCCUCUCACGAAUAUCCAAAGUUGCCAACAACAUAAAUAACUCGGCACCAUCUUGCACCAAUUCAUCAACUUGCUUAGCAGACACAAACCAAUCUUCCUUCGCACCAACCUCAGGAAAAAUAAUCGUCUUCUCGAAACAAUUGAUAUACACCCGAUUAAAUUCUAACCAAUACCAUCCUCGAAUCCGACCUCUCUUCGGGUUCAGGAAAAGCACAACAUUCUCAAAAUAGGUUAACUGGCCAACAUUGCACUCUUGCAUGCAACAAUAUAAUGUCCAAGCUCGAUACAAUUGGAACAUCCAAAAUAAGCAGACGCUUCUCCCCCACUUAUUUCAUUCCCAACCUGUAAAUGGAAAAUAAAACAAGCAUCGACAGUGUUCUCACACGCAUGUCGCAUACUAGGGAACAACCAUAAUUAAACAACCUGGCCGGACGGACCAACCUGCUCUGAUACCACUAAUGUAACACCCCUUUUUCUACCACAAAAUACUUAACAUUAAUCAGAGUAAAUAAGAACGCAUAUAAACAAAAGGGCGUCACAUCGACGUUUUAAAAAACUAAAAGCUUUCAAAAACCAACCUCAUUCAUCAUCAAUACACCUGGUCAUUUAAAAUAACACAUUUCAAUUAUCAUGAAUAUUCAAGUAUAUGCGUUCGCAGCGGAAAAUAAUGAAUACUCAUGUAUUUCAUAAAAUGAUCCAUGUCCAUACCAUGAUCAUCUCUCAAUAAUCACCUCAAGAUAAAAUAAAACAACUAAUAACCUAAUGCAUAUCCAAAUAAGAUAUGAGUUCAAUACUACUAAUCUACCCAGUGUUACAUGACUAGAGCAUUGACUCAUUACCUAGUCUUCAAACUAAAAUACAGAAACUCUCCGGCUAAUCUCGAGCGAGCUACCGUCCACUUACUUCAGCAAUACUACUCUGGAGUAUCUGCACGAUGCUGUGUAAAGCAUCAUUCCAACAGAAGGGUGAGAAUUCAAAUUAUUAUGAAGAAGUAUAAUAAAACACAAUGAUUAAAUCAACAAUUAAAGGAAUCCAUCACACUUCAUAUAACCCUGUAAAUAAUAUUAACCGAUAUUUAUUUCACAUGUUUCAAACAUCCAUCAAAACUCAAGGAGUACAAUAUCAAAAUCCAGUACUAUAUUCCCAAAUAUACACAUAAAUACAAUUAUCACAUAAUCACAUAUUUUGCCAAAUUAUGUAUUCAAACAUCACCAAACUCAAUCACCAUAUUUCAUACACACAUCACAAUCAUAACAAUGCAUACACGCGAUGAUCACAAAACUCUAAUGUGACUCAAUGCAAGACAUGUGACUCUAUGCAUGUGGUACCUGUAACACCUCAAAAUUUGCCCUCCUCUCUUGGGACUAGCUUAACAUAUUGCAUUUCAUUUCUUAGGACAUUAUUCAUUGCAUCUUUGCAUAUCAUGUGGUAACAUUAGGCAAGUAAUUCUCCUAGGUCUUGUUCAGAAGAUAAAGAGGUUAAGAGAUUCAAGCUUGAGGGUCUCAUGAAUUGAUCACUAGCCAUCUGAGGGUUUGUGCUUCAAUUAGGGUUUCUUGGUUCCUCAAGGAGGGUUGACAUCAUCUUGGUUGAAAGGGUACAUCAUCAUCAUCAUGGUCUUGUCAUCACCAAGAGGUUCAUUGUUCCUGAUCAGUUCCUUGGGAUUAGGGUUUUGACCUCUGGUCAACCCUAAUCAUAUGUCUUGUGCCAAUCAGGGCUUGUCAAGGAGAUGGGGUCUUUGUGGAGAUGAGGAUCAUCCUAUGGUUUUAAUGAGCUUAUGGAAACUAGGGUUUCAUUUUGGAGCCAUUUCAUCAGAAGAUUGAGGCUCAAGCUCAAUAGUCAAGCUGAAAUUCAUCUAUCAACUGAAAAAGUCAACCACAAGUCAACAGAUGGAUUUGGAGGUGGGAGAGGGUUAGAAACACUUCAUUCAUGUCCAAACAAGUUUCAUUUGACAUUUCAAAUGCCAACAUUGAAGAAAAUAAAGUCAGAUGAAAACUUUCCAAAAAUAGAAAGUGACUUGUAAUUCAAAAUUGCCAAAAAUGGAAAGGUUUUCUCCUUAAGAUUACGUGUCCAAAAAUGCUUCAAAUGAAAUUUUUUCCAACAUGAAAGUUGUAGAUCUUGCUCUCACCUUUCUAAAAAGUCCAAGAACAUGAAUUUCUCAUGUGUGGUUGGCAAGUUAUGGAUCAAUCUUGGUCAAGAAAAUUUGAACUUCAAAAGUGCAUAACUUUUGAACCAAAAGGCCAAAUGGAGUGGGAUUUUUUGCCACAUUCUUGUUUUGACAUGCUCUAUCCAAUUCAAGCAUCAUAAUCCAUGAAUUUUCAUUGCAAAAAAAAUUGAAUUUCAUUUGAAAUUUGGAGGGAAAAGUCCAAUUUGAAAACUAUGCAUUGUAUUCACUUGAUUUCACUUGCAUUUGCCUCCAAACCACAUUUUGAAGUGAAUUGAACCAGAACCUUGCACUGUUCCAUUGCUUUUUAUGCAUGAGGGGUGAAUUCCCAAUUUGGCAUGACACUUGGUCAUUGCUUAAUACACUUGCAUUUGCCUAAUCAUGAUUAGCAACUUCAUUAACAUCACAUAUAAAAGCAUAAUUCUAACUGUUUUUGUGAUUAGCAUAACAGAAUUCUGAAAUCUAGAUCUAGAUCCAAAAACUCUUCAAUUUUUCUCUCUCACUUUUCUUCAAAAAUCUUCACAAACUUUGCAUAGUUCUUGAUUUAUCCUUGAUCCAUAAGCAUAUUGGAGUGUGUUUGAAGCAAGCUUUCAAGGAUUUGGUGCUGGUUUUGGAACUGUUGUAACCUUGNUUGUCAAGGAGAUGGGGUCUUUGUGGAGAUGAGGAUCAUCCUAUGGUUUUAAUGAGCUUAUGGAAACUAGGGUUUCAUUUUGGAGCCAUUUCAUCAGAAGAUUGAGGCUCAAGCUCAAUAGUCAAGCUGAAAUUCAUCUAUCAACUGAAAAAGUCAACCACAAGUCAACAGAUGGAUUUGGAGGUGGGAGAGGGUUAGAAACACUUCAUUCAUGUCCAAACAAGUUUCAUUUGACAUUUCAAAUGCCAACAUUGAAGAAAAUAAAGUCAGAUGAAAACUUUCCAAAAAUAGAAAGUGACUUGUAAUUCAAAAUUGCCAAAAAUGGAAAGGUUUUCUCCUUAAGAUUACGUGUCCAAAAAUGCUUCAAAUGAAAUUUUUUCCAACAUGAAAGUUGUAGAUCUUGCUCUCACCUUUCUAAAAAGUCCAAGAACAUGAAUUUCUCAUGUGUGGUUGGCAAGUUAUGGAUCAAUCUUGGUCAAGAAAAUUUGAACUUCAAAAGUGCAUAACUUUUGAACCAAAAGGCCAAAUGGAGUGGGAUUUUUUGCCACAUUCUUGUUUUGACAUGCUCUAUCCAAUUCAAGCAUCAUAAUCCAUGAAUUUUCAUUGCAAAAAAAAUUGAAUUUCAUUUGAAAUUUGGAGGGAAAAGUCCAAUUUGAAAACUAUGCAUUGUAUUCACUUGAUUUCACUUGCAUUUGCCUCCAAACCACAUUUUGAAGUGAAUUGAACCAGAACCUUGCACUGUUCCAUUGCUUUUUAUGCAUGAGGGGUGAAUUCCCAAUUUGGCAUGACACUUGGUCAUUGCUUAAUACACUUGCAUUUGCCUAAUCAUGAUUAGCAACUUCAUUAACAUCACAUAUAAAAGCAUAAUUCUAACUGUUUUUGUGAUUAGCAUAACAGAAUUCUGAAAUCUAGAUCUAGAUCCAAAAACUCUUCAAUUUUUCUCUCUCACUUUUCUUCAAAAAUCUUCACAAACUUUGCAUAGUUCUUGAUUUAUCCUUGAUCCAUAAGCAUAUUGGAGUGUGUUUGAAGCAAGCUUUCAAGGAUUUGGUGCUGGUUUUGGAACUGUUGUAACCUUGCAUCAUCAAUGGCAAGUGAAGAUUCCAACUAGAUCGUGCGUGUUCAACCUCUAAUUCUUCAUUCAUUCACUCAUCUAAGCUUGGAAGAACAUCUGUUUCACCUUGCCAAGGCCUAAUUCGCACGAUUCCACUACUGUUGCAUCUUGAAGGUCAGUUUUCGAUGCUCUUAAUUCAUAAAAUUAAUGGAUGCAUGUGGUAGAUCUUUGAAUGUAGGUUAAUCUGCAAUUUGAAUCACUAAAAUCCAUGGAGAAAUGAGGUAGUUACAUUGAUUAGAAGAUUGAUGCAUGAAAAUGUUUUGGCUCGAAUCUUUGAAUCUAGGAAGAAUUAGGUUAAAAUAAGUUUAGCUUGUUGUUGUGCGUUGAGAGAUGAGUGCAAUGAUGUAAUUGUUUGUCAUUUCUGGUAAAAAAGUUCUUGAGCUGAUGAAUUUGUGAUGAACGCGAAGAACAAUUAGGGUUUGUUUUCCAGAAUGGCGUUUGAUCUUGUUUGAGCGUGUUUGCAUGCCUUUCCGUGUUUGUCCUCAUGCACUGGACCACGUGUCCUGGAUAUUAAGUGAGCGCGCUACAAUUUCAAAUACUCCCUCCCUUCGAUUCCAGCUGAGGGCAUUUCGCUUGGCCUUGUGCAUUUUUAUUUCAUCAUGCUAUCCAUGUUCAUCCCAUGCUUCAUCAUACUCUUUUUAUUUUUUUCCUUCAUUCAAAAUUCCAUAACUCAUUGAUGGAUUGUCCAAAUGAGAUGAGAUUUUUUUCAUUGUGUUCUUCAUGAUCUCUACUAUUUUUUGAUGUUUUUUCCAGAAAUUGUGCACUGUUGGAUUUUUAUUUUGGCUAGGGAUUGUGUAUACAUGUGUUUUCUUGACAUGCCUUGCCAUUUUAAUUGUGAAAUGAUGAGAUUUUAUCCAACAUUCUUGAAAUUUUGUGUGCUUGAAAUAGACAUCCUUAUGGACAUUUUGGUAUAGAGUUUGUAUUUUUAGCAUUGCUGGUUGUGGAGACACUACGCCAAAAAAGACCUAUGAGAGCGCUUUUUUUGGCCUUUAAAAGCGCUUAAAAGCGCUGCCGUAGGUGGCGCUGCUAUAGGUUUUAGCAGCGCUUUUUGUUUACUAAAAAGCGCUCUUAAAGGUUGUCAAUAGAGAGCGCUUUUUANNNNNNNNNNNNNNNNNNNNNNNNNNNNNNNNNNNNNNNNNNNNNNNNNNNNNNNNNNNNNNNNNNNNNNNNNNNNNNNNNNNNNNNNNNNNNNNNNNNNNNNNNNNNNNNNNNNNNNNNNNNNNNNNNNNNNNNNNNNNNNNNNNNNNNNNNNNNNNNNNNNNNNNNNNNNNNNNNNNNNNNNNNNNNNNNNNNNNNNNNNNNNNNNNNNNNNNNNNNNNNNNNNNNNNNNNNNNNNNNNNNNNNNNNNNNNNNNNNNNNNNNNNNNNNNNNNNNNNNNNNNNNNNNNNNNNNNNNNNNNNNNNNNNNNAUACAUUAGAAAAUAAAUAAGAAUGUUUUCUAUGUUAUCUUUUGCUUAUCAGUUAGCAGCAAUAUUAUAGCAAAAUUGUUGAAAUUAAGAGUACUGCACUUCUUAUUUGUGUAUAGUACAAAAGAUUUUACUUCUGUACGGUAGUACCAAAGUCAUUAACAUGUAUCUCUCUUUAUAUUAGAAAGUAAAUCUCUAAACUAUACAACUCUAAAAAGAUAAUCUAUUAAUUAUUUAAGGAGACGCAAAAUCUUCUCAUAUACCCGUACUAUGACAAGCUUGAUGAUUCUAAAAGGUGGGGGGGGGUGUGGGGUACCGGGUAAUACAACAGGUGGUGGCGGGGAUGCUGCGGAAGAAAAUGAUGCUAUUUAUAGCUUGGCCACACAUGAGUGGCUAUAGAGUUCAAGCUGAUUGCCUGCGCAUCACGGUAUAUAGAGAAGCAAAGAUAACGGUGUAAGUGCAAUGAUGAAUUUUAACCAGAGUUAAAAUACUGUAGUCGAAAGGAAACAGAGGAAAAAAAAGGAUGUAAUUAUUGAUUCCUUAAGACAGUAGAAUAAUUACUUACUCACCACGGACAUUAAUGAUAAAGUAGAAGAAACCCUUGGUGUUAUCUAUAAUCUGUCAGGAUAGCAAAUUUGCCAUAUUGAUUACUAAUUUUCUUUUUUCUCUUGUGCAAUGAAGCAACCCGUUUCGAUACUGCAUCAAAUAUGCACAAGUUCUUUUUAGGAAUUAACUUAUAUGAAAAAGAAUUCGAUUUUAUAUGAGAUCAUGACUGUCUAUGACAAAGUAACAAUAUACUUGAAUAGGUGUCUAUUUUUUGAAAAAUGUGUUUGUGUCCAGUGUCCGGUGUCAUGGUCAGAAACCGAUUUUUGCAGAGUUUUAUUGCUGUUCAAUCAUGGCUUGAGUGUGGUCGUUGCGGUAGCUAUUUUCUCGGCGCACUGUCCAUGUUUCAUGUCCUACAGAUAUUGCCUAAUGAUAAUAAUAUUAGCGUAUCAAAAUUAAGGGCAUUCUAAAUCAAUCAUUGCAAGAAAUCGUUCCAGGUGGUUUUUAGGUUACUUGGGUUCCAAUGCGACCGAUGCAUAGAGAAUUGUGCAUAAAUGGGCUUUGCUGUUAGAUACUGAAAACAUUCGCAAAUUUGACACGUUCGCGUGCAAUCAAUUUUCUGUCUAUCAUGAAACUUACUCUUGAUAAAACCCGCCGUUUAGUUAUUUUGGCGAUAACACAGGUGCAAUUUUCAGAUUAGAGGGUAUUGAGAAUUACGGAUACUGAGAAUCUUUUGUUACGCUUUACGAAAAACUGGGAUUUACGCACUAGAUUGAACGGAAGAACGUCAAAGAACCUGCAAUGAAAAUAGUGAUGCUGAGCGAAUGAGAAGAAAGGGGUGAAAAAGUUGAAUAAGAAAAAGAAGACAUGGGGGAGUGGAAGAUUGGGUUUCAAUCAGAGUAGAUUUUAGUGGAAACACUGAAUUGGAAACAAGCGAAACACCGUCGGCGUUGAGAAGUUGCUUGAAAUUGUAAUUGAAUGAUUUACUAGGAAGGAGGAUAGAAGGGGAGAUUUUGACCUAGGUGACUGGAACAAACGACGAGAGCGGUGCUGAGUACCGCGCUUGGAGAUAGGUGAAACGCCAUGUUGAACGUGACGCAACGACCCCAAGGUAGGGGAUAGCGGAAAUGAACAGUUGAGCUGUAGUUUCAAACUUACAAGGGAGUAAAAGGAAUUUCCUAUCUAUGUUGUGUUUAUAAUAAUAAAUUACUCAAUGUAAGUAUUUAAUUGAGGGAUUCAGAUAAUGCUCGAUUAAUUAUAGUUUUUAUUCCUAUAAUGAAUAUAUCAAUAAAUUUAAUAUUUUGUUUACCUAUUAUUAUUUUUAAAAUUAUUUUUUAUUUUAUAGAUAUUUGGGUAAUUUUUUGGUACAUAAUUUUUUUACGAUGAGAGCUUGACGAGCCGCUUUUACAUGAAAGCGAUUUAUAGGAAUGUGAGACUAAGAGAACUGAUUUUAGGGCUUUUCCUUAGAAACGCGAUUUAAUAAGUCUGAAACCUCGAGACUAUAAGAGGCGCUUGUACCUUAAAAGCGCUUUCAUAAAGUGUGAAACUUCAAGAGUGGGACGAGCACUAUAAGAGCGCUUUCUACUUAAAGCGCUUAUAAGUGUGUGACAGGAUUGAGAUACGCUGAUAGAGCAAGCGCUUUUACGCUUAAAGCGCUUUCAUAAAGUGUGAACCCAUACGACUUGUAAGAUGAAGACCUUAAGAAUGCGCUUUACUAGGUGAAAGCCUUUCAUGAAGUGGAUGAGACCUGAUAAGAAAGCGUUUUACUCUUAAAAGCGCUUCUAUCAUAGGUGUAACUCUCAUGAGCUAUAUAGUCGCUUUUAUAAUAAAGGCGCUUUAUAGUGUGACUGCAUAGAGUAUGUGAGACUGAAGGACGAAAAGACUAUAGGGGCGUUUUACUUAAAAGCGCUUUAAUAAGUGCGAGACUAUAAGAGCGCUUUUACCUUAAAAGCGCUUUCUUUACAUAGGCGAAUUUUUUUUCAAGCUAUUACAGCGCUUUUUUUAAAAAGCGCUUUCUUUUUGGUGCUGCCAAAAGCACUUUUUGGCGUAGUGAGAUAUGAUCUGUUUAAUGGAGGUGUGACAAUGUGUGUCACACCUUUGCUUGCUUGACUUGUGGAUUUUAUUUGCCAUGCCAAUUCAAUGCCAAAUGAUGUGAAUUUUUGCAUGAUGCUACUUAUGGAUGUUAGGAUUGCUUGUAAAAGUUUGUGGAAUUGUUGGAUGUAAUUUGGAUUUGUUUGAGAUUUUCUUUGCUGAUUGGUCAUUUGUGGACUUUUGGAUAGUCAUGAACUUAGAUGAUUUGUGAAAUUCUUGAUGUUUAUCAUAUGAACUUGAAAUUUUGCACAUUGAUUCCAGACACUUUGAUGUUUAUCUUGGCUUUGGUUUGAGGCAUUUAUCAUGUGUAGAUUCUGUUUUAGGCCUGUGUAAAGUUGAUGCAUGAAAUUGUGCCCUAAUUGAGCUUGUUUGUGCUUACCUUGCCUUAUAGAACUUAAUUGCCUUGCUUCCACUUGUCCAAAUGACUUGAACUUUGGUAUGAUGAUCAUUUGAUGUGUGCUGUUUAGCCAUGAUUUUUCUGGAGAUUUAUUGAAUUAUGUUUGAGUUACUUUGGAUUGAUUCAUUCUGUUUGGUUCAAUGAGCUUUGAACUUGCAUGCUUUACCAUAUUUGGAUUGUGAAAUAAUUUUGGUGCAUGAUAUGAACAUGGGACCAAUUGGAUGAUGUUCUAAUUUGAUUGAACUUGAUUUAUGCCAAUUUUCAUGUUCUGUUUUGAAUCAUUUCUCCCUCUUUGACCCUAGGCCUUGUCCUAGGGGUUUGCUUAUGUUUGAGUUGUGUUUUCAGGACAAAGAGCAUAUGGCUAUGAGGGAAAUGAUUCACUUGCUUGAGUUGACUAAUUAGUCAAUGUUGAACUAAUCUUGAUUUUGUUUUGUAGGUGGCUUCUAAUUCAUUUGAGUUGAGCUUGAGCUUUGCCUUGAUGCAUAGCUUGCUUGUCUAUUUGCUUGUGUACAGUUAACUGUUGACUUUUAGUUUGUCUGUUUGACUUUUUGGGUUGUGUACUGACUGAGUUAGAUUGUUUUCAGGUACAUUAGUUGCUAUAGUUCUUUUGAACUUGCUUUUGCUGUUGCAUGGUUGCUUAACCAAUUGAGGUAUAACUCACUGACUUCAUGUAGUCUAACCCGAUUCCAGUUGGCUUGCUUUUGCAGCCUAACCCUUGUGUGAGCCCACUUUGUGUGUAUAUAGUGUGUGCUAUUUGUGUGAUUGUUUAUUGUGUAUGUUUGCUUCACUUAUGCCUGUUUAGGAUAGCUUGCUGCCUGUGCAAGUUAGAUAGAAAACUCAACCUAGGACCAUUGUGGAAUACAUGAUAACUAUUAGGCUCGAGUCAGUCUCCCUUCUAGUUAGUCGUUUCCCAGUCUCUGGUUAGGAGAAAGUUUCUCCCCUGUUCAGGGGAACUAUGUUGCCCUGAUCCUCAUACCAGAUGAGGUACGUAGGCAGGAGGUCGUGCGAGAUCUCUCCGGGCACCCUUUUCUUUUUUUGAGUGUGUUGUGCUUGACAGCUAUCAGGCUCGAGUUCCCGACUCCCUACAGAUGAUGGGAAAGGAAAAAAAAAAUCCCCCCCCCCCCCCCCCCCCAAAAAAUUCUGCCCGGUUUUUUCAAUGUUUUUGGGGGCCCUUGUUUUUGGUGUGGUUUUGUUUUGAGAACGUCUCCAAGCGUCCUGUGCAAUUGUGGUUUUGUUUUCGGCGUGCGUGAGCCGAACUACGGUAGCUCUGAUUCUCAUCACAGAUGAGUCGUGGCAAUUAGAAUGCUGAUAUCGCUAGCGAGCCCUUCCCCUCUUCUCUCACCUGUUGUUUUCCAAGUGUGGUGUGUGUGGUGUUGAUGCAGUUUAAGCAACCUUUCUUCUAUCCUUCUGCGGGAUCCCGUCGAGUACGACGGAUGCGUCGGGUGCUAUACCUUCCCUUCGCAUAACCGACUCCCGAUCCCAUCUCUCUUUGGUCGCAAGACCAUGUCUUUCCAGGNNNNNNNNNNNNNNNNNNNNNNNNNCUCCUGUUAGUCUCUGUGUUCACCUUCGUUUGUCUCUCUUUUUCUUUGUGUGUGUUUGCUGACAGUUACCUAGUAAGUGCAGACUCUAUUGUAACCUGUUGUUGGAUAACUUCUCGUUGGUAGGGAUGGAUGUAAGACUCGGCGAUUGCCAGUCCAUUAUUCAGGCGUUGUGUAGUGGAGUCCACCGUAAGCCAGCCAGAGUGUGUUGUCACGCGUGUGUUUGUUGGUUCGGAGUCUGAGCUAAGCCAGCACGAUUGGCAUUCGUUUUUCGCAUGUUUUGCCUUGUGUCGUUGUUUGACGCUCACACGUCUGUGCAUGGUUUAUUUCUGCGUGCGUGAGCCGAACUACGGUAGCUCUGAUUAUCAACCAGAUGAAUCGUAGGCAAUAGAAUGCGAUCCUAGCGAGCCCUUCCCCUCUCCUCCCUACCUGUUGUUUUCCAAGUGUGGUGUGUGUGUGUUGAGCAGUUUAGCAACCUCUCUCUAUCCUACGGGAUCCCGUCGAGUACGACGGUAUCGUAGGUGCUAAUUACCUUCCCUUCGCAUAACCGACUCCCGACCCCAUCUCUCUUUGGUCGCAAACCAUGUCUUUCUCAGGUUACUUCGAGCGUUCCUUCCCCUUUUGGGAUAAAUACGCACUGGUGGCGCCUGUUGUUGUUUGUUUUAGGCUCCGCGGUUGUUUUCGGCGGAUGCGACAGCUGGCUGACUGUCGCUUCGGGGACUUAAGUACUGACCCUGUGCUCCUGUCAAGCAUGUAAAGGAAAAACUGUCGGUGCUUUGUUAGUUGUCGUGCCACAUAGCUUCACCCAGAAGCGACAGUCUAUCUCGCCAUCUCCGCGAUGUCGAUCUCGAGGAUAGUUUAAGGAGUUGCCUGUGCCGUGUUCUACAUUUACAAUGUACCAGUUAUUAUUAUCUCGCUUUCCGUUGUUAUUAAUCUGUGUCAUAGAAUAUUAGACAUGCAUCAUAUCUUAUCAUGUUGCUGUCGGCGUACGACAUGUAGUGUUCUUUAGUAUGUGGUGUGUGAUGGCUGAGGUGUGUACACGGACUAGCCGCAUUGUGCUAUCAAUAUAGACAUAUGACCUGCCUCUAAUAACGUUGGUGUUGCUCUAAACUACUUCCACAACCUCACCCAGCGACGGCUUUAGUGCUACGUCUCACCUGGAGCCGUCUUACCCGUAAAUGAUAGGCUUUUACAGUCUUCUUACGUCCCUCUAACAUCGAUCCGGGUGCAUUAGCCAAAUAUUAUACAAGCGGACUAUAGUAUUGUCCUUUACAGAUGCAGAUGUUGUAACCUAUUCGGUUGGACUAAAUCGUUGUACACUUUAACCACUCACGCAGGAGUUGUACUGUUUCGAGCCAGGCUCUCAGAUCCGAAGCAGGAACAAGUCCAUUAUCGCAUGCUUUAUCACUAAAAUCUUUUGCCUCGUUUCUUAAUUUCUAUUCGUCUUCAAAAAGCAUCGAGCAUAUGACAGCUCUUGGAAGUUUACACCUGCAUCCUCACUGUCGAAUGUCAACGUUUUUCCGCGCAUAAUUUGUGUGCCAUGUCUUCUUUGAUUGAAUCAAGUGAUUAUUUGAGUUUUGCUGACUCUCAUCAUUAAUAAGCAUUCUUCUCUCCUGCUCUCCAUUCACCCACCAGAUUCUGAUGAUUGCUUGUGAAGUGCGUGUUCAACCGAUCUUUUCCUUCCGAGUUUUGCUAUCAUCAACUCAUCUCAAUACUCCUCUAAGCAUAGCUUGAAGUUCUUAACAACUCAUACUUCAACGCUAGAUGGUCCUGUGAAUCCUCUACAAUGAGACUACAACCAAUGAAUGAUCUAUCAAAAGUAAUUCCUAUCUCGAGAUUUCGUUGGAGAUGUUUUCAGGUCUAUUUAAAGUCAGAAUGUAUCGUGCUUAAUCUCUAUAACUGCAUCGCUGUACGGGUCAAGAUGUUUCCUACAUUGGUAAGUUUGUCUUGCUACUCAUCUGAGGUGCAAAUCGCAGUUGAAUGAUAGUCUUCUCACCCAACACCUCACGUUCUCUUAAUGCAUUUCAUGCGAGAGAGAGCUCGCGACCGAAAGAUAACAGUAUGUGAACUAAGUAUUCCUGAAUUGACGGACUAUGCUGCUUCUUCCUCAAAUAUAUAUCGGGAAAGAAUGCACCGAGCUUCACAUCGAAUUGCUUCUCCAAUUCGCUGCCAUACUUUCAAGACAUUCAAGACGUGUAUCUACUCUCCUGUGCUCGUUACAACGUUCUUUAACUGGUUUCCAACGUCUGAUCCAGCGCCCCGCAUGUCCGGCUAGAUUCCGUCUCUCAAUUAUCCCAGGUCUACGAAUGCAGCGGGUGGAUGAGAAUGCGUCUCACAAUCCAUUAUCAUUCAUCAAGCUAAAGUAAAACUAUCCAUUCAAUUCAAACAUAUUCUUAGCUUGUGCGAUAGUUCUGAUAGACCUACGUUGCUGCCGACUACGUAUGCUUGAAUCAAGUAUCAGCCCCAUCUCAGCGUUCUAAAUCUAACGGAACGAUCUGCGCAUAGGGUACUUGGCGCACAGACAUUUUAGUUGGUCCUGAAUUCCUCCAUUUACUCCCCUUCCAUCUUCCCCCGGAUUCAGCCACAUUUGAAUUUGAUAGAUGACCUUCCAUCUGCCAUUGCAUAUCGGACUACAAGGCACAGUAUCGCGUACAUAAGUAUCUCCCCGGCCUUGCGAAAACACUCGAAAGAAUAUGCUUGAAACAUAAAGGGUUGAGUCGAAUUCGUGGAUUAAAGUUCGUUUGCCUAUUAUAGAUUGCCUGCACCACGUGAAGUGUAUCAGAGAAACACCACCUAUGGCGUGGCUCUUGCAUAACGUUUUGAGUGUCAGAUUGUGGCUAUAAUCAGCGACUAAAGCUUUCAUGUACAAAUAGAAAGGAAGAGAAGAGGCGCAAAGAUUAAUAUGAGCACGACAAUCACACAAGUAGUUCUAAAAUGAUGAUAAGAAGAAAAAAUCUCUUAUAAAGACUGAAGCUGGUUAGGAGACAUGCAGGGCAUUCUAUUUGCGAUAGGCAUAGUACAGACUAAGCUGGCACAUGGUCACGAAUUAAUACAAACUUCAAAAUAAGAACAUCUACAAGGACAUACACUUCGACCACUAACUAAUAUUAUAUUGAAUAAUUCGAUGCCGUCGAAACUACAUCUUGCUGUCAUAACUAAUCCGACUUUAACAGCGGUCCAGCAAGAGCAUAGUCGAGUUAUGAUAUACAUAUAUGAUGAUGGAAAGAUAUAUAAGAAGUAACAACACAAUUCUUAAUCCAAUAUUCUACGGUUAACACAUUAUAAAUAUCUCAACAACAUUUAUAACGAACGCACUGUAUAGUAUUACCUUCAGAGAUAUUAACUUUACAAUUCCUAUCCUCUACAUGUAAUACUAGAACUAUAUUAGAGUUUGUAGCUAUUUUUAAGCGUAUGCAAUCAUGUUGGUCAUGUACGUUCCACUGUCAUCGGAUUUAGUCCGUACCACAACUGAUGUAAUCAGUAUAUAAUAAUUAGAAGUUUCGUACUUUUACAUGUGGCGUAUACUUGGAAUAUGAGAUAAGCGUGUUUGUGAUGCUAGUCCGUUAUAUAGAAACCAGAUAUAUGGGAGAGGCAGAUGCGUUUCACAAGCGCUUCUGUUGACCCGGUCAUACUUGAAUGUAACUGAUGUAACAUAUCGCAGCAUUUGAGUUAUGGACUAGCUCCAGUUGACACUUCAUUCUCUGACGUUACGGCAUAGCAUGAGAUGAUGUUAAUGCUGUUCGGCCCAUAGCUUGGUGUAUGUCAAGUCUGGUUAUUAGAACAACCCUUCUUACCUAGCUGUCCUGCCUGUUGAGGAACGAUACUAUACUAAAAGUAUACUCCAAUCAUGAGUUCGUUUUAAAGUAUAGGUUAUCUUCUCGAGAAGGGGCUGAUGUCGUGUCGAUUGAGAAAUGCUAUCGUAUCGUGUAGCGGUGAACGGUCUACUGAAUUAUCCUGACCGGCAGGUGGAUAUUUGUAAGGUAAGCCUAGGGCCUGAUUGGAGAUUGGUCCAGGGCGUAAGAGCAUAUUACUUAUAUGAAAAUGGAUAUUCUCCCAAUUGAGGUAGACGGCUACUGCUGAUAUAGACUGGCUUCUUGUAGCAUGCAGUCGACUUCGAGAUCUUCGACUAUGUGCACUCCCUGUUGAUGGGUUUUUGUAUUCUUUGUAAUUCCAGUGACAAUCAAUGCGGAGGUGACCUAUGGUAUUCUCUACAAGACUACGCAAUCUGAGUAUUGGAACUAUCUGUGGCUGUUCACAAAGCAGGCUUAUUACUAGAUGUAAUAUUUGUAUGUAAUAGGACCGACAGCAGGCAUUUACAUGCACACAUCUGCUAACGCAGUAGACAUGCAUACAAUGUUAAGCUUUAGCAUGACACGAGAAACAUCGCACCAUUUAGUUUUCGACGCUUGAGGUAUGAAUUACCAUCACACCCAUUGCGUUCGAUAACUUAUUUAUAACGUAUUGAAGAUCUGCUAAUUUUAGAUUGAGUACCGAUGUAUUGUGUAUUUUUGACUAGAUGUAACACGGAUUGAUACACACGUGUUGGUUUCAGAACGCUUUUUGCUCGUAUACAUGAAAGCAAGACUUGAACAGAACAUGAGAUGGCUUCGAGAUAGAGGGUACAAAUUAUCGCACAGACGAGUAUUACACGUGGCUCAGUGUUUGGCAGGUGAGCGUACUGAAUUUCUUCCAAGUACUAUGUAGUCAUAGGAAUGGUUACACGGUGCGGGCAAAUAAAGUGAUGUCAUCAAUAGUGUGAAUAUUGAGGCAGAAACCGCUAAUUCGUUGGCAAUGCCAAGCAAUUAAGCGAGCAAUAUCAGUUUGUUACAAACUGCAGCUAAAUAGUGCUAAUGCACUAUUGUGUACGCGAAUCAAAUCAUGAAGAAUACCCCUCAAUGCCCGUAACUAUAUGGAGAUAUCCACCUAUUAUGAGACAGAAAUAAUGUCCAUAAUUAAAGUCAGCUUACAAUGUAAUGGCAAGAUUAAUGAUUUUUUCCCAAUGUAUAACUUUAUCUAUCCAUUAUUAGCUAGACUCUAUAUCAUUCUCAUUCAAUAUGUCGGACUAAUAGAUUCUUCUCUAUCAUGCAUCUUAUAAGAAUAUUGCAGGACUACCAUUUGUGACAGUAGCCUCAAUUUAGAUACAUAGAGCAACAUACCAGUAUCACAAUCACUAUCGUUGUUUAAUAAUCUUGCGAGUAAAGAAUAGGGACUCGUCAACGUUACAUAUAUCUGUAAUUUUGGGCCAUUUAGCAGGUAACAAUUUAGUCGACGCUUAAUCAGUUAGUGUAAAAAGCAUUCGAAUCUUAUAUUCAAUAGCAGUAGUCCACUGUUCGACUCAGGCGAGGUUAUGUGGAAGGUUUACAAGAGAAACUGGCCCAUAUUGCCCAGGCGUGCGAAAUCAAAAUUGUAUCUGGAGCACGUUUUUGCAUCCGUGCGUUAAGGGUGAGAAGUGUACGGAACAAACCAGACAAUGGCACAUGCACGAGUCGAAUCAGUGACGCAACGCUUUAUUUCUCCUUGAUUUCCUGACAUUUUUAUUCGCAAACUAAGCUGCUUACAUCAGAUAUUUAACCUUACUAUUGCCUGACAAAGAUUACGAAUCUAGAGAUUGAUAGGGUUAUUGUUCAGUUUAUAUGCUCUCGUGAUUUAUAGAGAAGUAGCCCAGAGAACUGUUCAUGCGCUGUCAACUGCCUGCACGAGCUACUAUAUUUAUGUAUAGUUAUGAGUUAUUCAAGAGUUUGAUAUCUAUAGCUUUUAUUAUCAGAAUAAGAAUUUUGGCUGGGGCAAAUAGAUUACGAGCUAAACACAUGAAGAUGUCCUGCGUGUCUCACUUUAUUCUCGUGCUAAGUGAGAGACAAGGGUUCGAUCAUCAUCCUCUAAGCAGCACACAAUUUCAGCAGCUUUUGUCCUAUCUUGUCUUCAUAUUUCGUGUUAAUCAUCAACUUUUCUCCAUCACAUUAGCAAAUUAAUUUUUACUAAAUAUUUAUGCAAUCAUCCAGUAAGUUAAUCGAUCAGAGAUGGAGACGAAAUUGUUUUGAGGCAACUGGAUCCUGUCAAACGUAUAUCAUUGUAUCCACAAACCUGUAAUUUCAAUUCUAACGUAUAGCACUAAAUGUAUCAAUAGUUCGGCUAAAUCUCUCGUCGUUGAAACAGUCUGCAAGUAAAGAUUAGCGACCAGGGUGCCCGGAGAUUCAAACUCGCCCUACCGACACCGUAACGAUGGCUGCCCAGUCAGUGCCAUACAAAAUACCAAUACCAAAUGAGAUAGACUCAACGACAUGAAUAGCCAAAGCCUUCCAGAUCUGCUAUCCACUAAAAGAGUAUGGACUUCCUACCAAUUCACCAUUUCUACUGGCAAGCUCCGCUAACACGUAGGUCUAGCAAUACGAUUAUCCAGUGGUAGAACACGAAAUAAAAGCCCGCAAGCGGCGCCAAAAACUUGAGCGCGGAAAAGAAGUAAAGGGUGUCGAAACCAACAGAUUCUACCGAGUCGAGUCUGAAGUGUAGCAAGCGAAAGCGAUGGACUAAGUGCCUACUUAUCCAAUCAUGCUCAUGUUCAAGGAUCCAUUGUGGGAAUUGAUCAAAAGCUGAAGUUUUUCGGUUAAGAUUCUGAGUGCUCCAGCUGUAGUUUUAUAUACCAAUAUACGAGUGGGUCACUUGCGGGAGAACGAUAGGGACAGUAAAAUGUCCGAUCUGAACGCAUAGAUAAAAUGGCAUGGUUAUCAAAAAAUUUUGGCGUGUUUAACAUAAAUUGCCUUAAAAGUAAAAGAAAGUGGACUACUCCGAUGACCGCGAAGUCAUGAGCACGAGAACACGAUCUAUUGUAUGUUUGCAUACCUGUAGUGAGAUUCAAGGUGAGACAAUAGUCAAAUCUUGAGAUGCGAGGACGAAUAGAGUAUAAACGAUCAGGUAAAUGGACGCAUCGAAGAAGAUAUAGUCGAUAUGAGGAUAUCAGUUAUGCUAAAGAAUAACGAAAGUACUUUCCAGGUUGGACGUAAUCUCGCGUAAGUCAUAUCGGAUGAACUCAAGGUUAGCUCUAUCGAGGCUCAGAUACACACAUAACAAUUAGGUAUUGAUUAACUCAUACAUACUAACCAAGGGAUCGCGUUUCAGUUUGACGCCCAUAGUGGUGUUACAAAGAUGUUUCAGAGUGCCAUAAGCAACGAACGGCAACGGCAUCAGAAAUCCAAAUCCGCUCUGUUGAAACCAAUCAAAGAAUAUAAUAAAGCAAUUAAUACCAAGUAGACUGCAAUUAUAGUUUAGAGACUGCGCCAGCUAAGGACGUACAAGACGCUAGAAUUACCAGACUGGUAUUUGUGAGAAAAAUGACGAAUGAGAAGACCGACUUCUAGCGAAAACUAUCUAUACUGAAGAGAAAACCAACCAAUAUCGAUUUACUUCGAGCGUUUCCUUUCCCUCUUUUGGGAUAAAUAACGCACGGUGGCGGCUCUGUUUGUUUUUGUUUUAGCCCGCCGGUUGUUUUUCGCGGAUGCGACAGCUGGCGACUCUGCUGGGGACUAGUAAGUUGACCUGUUGCUGGUCCAUCUUCCCUAAGCGAGUCUCUCCUAGGUUCUAGGAUAGUUUAGGUUGCUUGUGCUGCUAUUUAUUACAUUUAUUAUUCUGUUGUGUAUAUAUUUGCAUAAAUAUUUGCAUGCAUCAUACUAUCAUGUUGCUGUCCUCUAUACAGGUGGUUCUUAUGAGUUGGGGUGGGUGUUCUGAGUGGGGCUAAAACCCAGGCCCGAGUAUACACCUAGGAUUAGUGUGGUCUCACGUUCCUCAUUUGCUUUAUCAGCAUGUUGUUGCAACGUGACAUACCACAAGCCGGACGAGGUUCAUUUGCAUGCUUUAUCACUAUCUUUUGCUCUUUCUUAUUUCUUUCUUCAAAAAUCUCGAGCAUAAUGACCAAAGCCUUGAGAGUUGUAACACUGCACCUCCUUCAUGUCAACUUUCUUCCUCGAAUAUUUGUUGCCCAUGUCUUUCUUGAUUGAAUCAGAGUGAUUAUUUGAGUUCUUGCUUGACUUCUCAUCAUUAAUAAGAUUCUUUCUCUGCUUCUCCAUUUCCCCCCAGAUUUCUUGAUGAAUCUUGCUUGUAGUGCCUGUUCAACCAUCUUUUUUCCUUUCCGAGUUUCUUUGCUUCAACCUCAUCUCAUGAGCCUCUAAUGAAGCUUGAAGUUCUUCUAACUUCAUCUCAGCUAGAUUCUUGAACUCUUCAAUAGACACUACAAUGUAAUCAAAAUUUAUAGUCAGAUAUCUCAACACUUUCUCAACUUCUGCAAAUCGUUGAUUGAUCCACCACACACCUUCAUUUGGUUCAUUAAUAGCGCCACAUGUGAAAAGUAUUCCGAGACUGAUUCUUCUUCCUUCAUCCGAGUCAUCUCGAAUUGCUUUCUCAAUGUCUGCAACUUCACCCUUUUCAGCUUUUCAUCUCUGUCGUACAAGUUCUUUAACUGUUCCACGCUCCUUUGGUCGUUUCUUCUUCAAUUAUCUUCUCAAGCGCGUUAGGAUCCACACAUUGAUGAAUCAAGAACAUAACUUCUCUAUCUUUUUUUUUUCGUUUCUUGUGCCCAACUUGCUGAAAAUCGUUCGCAUUCUCUUCUAAUGCAGGUACUCCAUCUUUCACGAUUUCAGCCACAUUUUGAAAUUUGAAGAUGACCUUCAUCUGCGCAACCCAUCGUUCGUAGUUCUCCCCUUGAAAAUCGAUAGAUUUGUUGGAAAUUAUGUUGAUGUUGUGUUUUCGUUUGCCAUUAUAGAUUCUCUCUGAAUUGUAACCCGGACUCCUUGAUACUAAUUUGUUGGAACAAAAGAGUUUUUUAAAUAAAGAUGAGAGAAGAAGUAGAAAGAAAUGAGAGAAAUACUAUAAGCUAAAUUUAUGAUAAAUGAAAAAAAUCCUUAUUGAGUGAAGUUGUUAUUGACAUCCAUGCCCUUUAUAUAGACAACUAAAGUCCAUGUCCAAAAUUUACAAAAUGCAAAAUAUAAAACUACAAAUUACACUUCGACAUAAUAAUUAUAUGAUAUAUUCGACUCCGUCGAAUACAAUUGACUCAUACUAAUUAGACUAACUACUUCAAUACAGUCGAAUGAUAACUUUAUAUAAAACUAUAAAUUACAACGAACAAUAAUUUCAAAUUCAAAAAAAAUUAAUUCAAAUUUAUAAGAACACAUGUAAAGAUAAAUUAAUUUAAAUUAAACUCAUUUUAAACUAAAAUCAAUUAUAUAAUUUUUUUAAGGAAGAAUAGUUUAUGUAUAAUUGAUUUUAGUUUAAAAUGAGUUUAAUUUAAAUUAAUUUAUCUUUUACAUGUGUUGUUAUAAAUUUGAAUUAACUUUUUUUGAUGCAACUUCCUUAAGAAAAGAAUAAGAGCAUGUUCCACUCCGUCAUAAAAUUCGAAAACAAUAGAACUUAUGCUCUCUUUCACUUCAUUCCGUUGCAAAAGAGAGUACUCACUUGGUGUUAUUUUGUUUUCCUUCCACUCUUGACUAUACUAUAAAUAAUUGUUGUUUACAAAGUUGCUUCUGAGGUGUUCGAUGAAAUGCACUAGUUAAAUGAAUCACUAAUGAUCAUGUAUUUUUGUAAGUACACCCUGUAACUUUUUUGCUCUGUUCAAUUUCAAUGUGUUCUUGGUGUUUUUGUAUUCUUUGUAAUUACCAAUGAUCAUUUUUAUAGUUCACAAAGCUGCUUUUGAUGUGUUUGAUGAAAUGCAGCAGUUAAAUGAAUCGCUAACGAUCAUAUGUUAGUUGCAUGACAUGGAGAAAUCACAUUUAUGACCUAUGAAACAUAAUUGAUUUAGAGUACUAUUUUAUAAAGUAUUUGAAAUUCUGCUAAUUUAGAUUUGAGUUAUACCGAUUGUAUUGUGUAUUUUUGACUUAGAUGAUAACAACGAUUUGAUACACAUGUUUGUUUCAGAACUCUUUUUUCUUACGAUGACAAGCAAGACUGAACAGAACAUUGAGAUGGCUUCGAGAAAAGGGGUAAAACAAAUUAUGCAAGAGAUGCUCUGGCUUCUAGUGCUCUGGUGAGUCCUAAUUUCUUCAAUCAGUGUAGUCAAAUGGUUACCAUUGUGGCACUAUAGCAUCAUAGUGGAAUUUAGAGAAACUGCUAUUGUUUUGCAAUACACAAUUAAGUGCAAACUGUUGUCAAAUUGCACUAAAGUAGUGCUAUAGCACUAUUGUGUAGCGGAAUUCAAAUGAAAAUACUCCCUCAAUCCCAAAUUAUAAUUCACUUUGUCAAAAAUAUAUGUCCCAAAUUAUAAGUCACUUUACAAUUGUAAUGCAAGAUUAAUGAUUUUUUUCCAAUAUAUCCUCCAUCAUUUAUUACUAUUUCUUUUUUCAAUUCUUUAAAUUUUUCUUUCAUUUAUAAUAAAUGAAGGACAAUAUUGUAAAGUCAUGCAUAAUUUAUCUUCCCAUACAACAAUCACUAUGUUUCUUAAUUUGCGUAAAAGAUGUCAAACUUCUUAUAUUAUAAUUUGGAACACUUUUCUUAAUUUGUGUAAAAGAUUUCAAACUUCUUAGAGUAUCUCCAGCGGUAGUUUUUCAACCCAGUUUGCCAGGGUGGAACAACAAUGAGGGCAGUUUUUUCAGGGUUUAAUGGUUGGAGUUCGCCAACAUGGCAAUGCCAGUGCUUCAGCAUGCAACGGUUAUUUUCUUUUUUUCUAUUUUUUUAUUUAGAAAGUAGCCUGCUAUUCCUUCAUCAUGCAACGGUUACUUUUUUUUUAUUUUUAUUUUUUUAUUUAGAAAGUAGCCGUUCAACGGCUACUUAUUUAUUUAUUUAUUUUUAACAUAUUUUUUAUUAUAAAUAUAAUUUUGGUUUCCAAAAAUUUACCAACACAAAUUUCUCUCACUUUUAUUUUCUCUUCAAUUUGAAAUUUCUCUCUCACAAUUUCAUCAUUUUAUUCUAAGCUUUUAAUUUUUUUUCAAACAAAUUUUUCUCAUUAGCAUUUUUUUUACAAAAUAUUUAACUACAAAAUUUCAUCUUUUUACUUCAAAUUACAAUUGUUUAGGCCAAAUGGUACCUAACAUUUUCAUUAUCAACAAGCUUUUUUCAAUUACAUGCAAAUUAUCAAAAUCCUAAUCCUCAAAAUUCCUCAAAUUCCACCGGUGCCAACAAAACCCCGCCAUAUUCUUCCGUCACCAAACAAUCCAAAUGUACUAUCCUAUCCUCAAAUGAAUUCUAAAGUAUGAAUCCUCUACUGCAAGUUCCAACAUUUUCUACUCAAGUCCCACCAUUUUCUACUCAAGUUCGUACUGAAAAGAAGAAAGGUGUCGUUAAAAAAAAUCUCGAGAGCAAUUUACAAGGGAAGAGAAAUAUACUACUUAUCCAAUCAUGGCUCAAUGUUUCAAAUGAUCCGAAUUGUGGAGUGAUCAAAAGGCUGAGAGUUUUUGGUUAAGAAUUGCUGCUAGUUAUAACCAAUAUUCGUGGGCAAUUGCGGGGAAAAGUUGCGACCUAUAAAAUGUCGACGGCAUAGAAUAAAUGCAUGGUUCAAAAUUUGUUGGGUGUUACAAAAUUUGCUCUAAAGAAAAGAAAAGUGGACAUCGAGACCGAUGUCAUGGCAGAUGCACAUGCUAUUUUUUGUUCAGGAUCAAGGUACAAUAUUCAAUCUUGAGUAUGCAUGCGAUUGUUAAAAGAUGAAGCUAAAUGGCGCAUCGUCGAAGAAUCGAUUGGAAUGUCUGCAAAAAAUACAAGACUUAUGCUAGUGGGGCAUCAUCGGAGAACCCAGAUACAACUUCAAGUAUGAGUUUAAUCUCAUCCUCACCAUGGCGUCCAAUGGGACAAAAAGCAGCAAAAAGGAAGGGUAAGGCAUCAAAAUUCCAAAUGCAACGCAAGAUGCAAAGAAUAAAAAGAGCAAUAACAAUGGACAGACUUGCGCAAGCAAGGAGGACGAGCUAGAAUUAAGGGUAGUGCAAAUGAUGAUGAAAGACACUUCUACUAUGAACGAUAGUCAACGAGAUAUUCGUGAAAAAAAUAUGUAAUAAGAUGAAAAAAAAUAUGGAAUGUAGUUAGUAUCACUAUUAAAAUGUCAUUAGACCACUUUAAUUAUCACACCUAUGUAAAAUGGUCAUUAGACCACUUAAUUAAACUACCGUUAUUCAAACCUACACUUUAAUUUAAACUAGCCGUUAUUCAAACUAGCCGUUAUUCAAACCAUUAUAUAUACUCCACCUUAUGUCAUUGUUCUCUCAUUCUCAUCUUUAUCUCUCAUUUUCUCUCAUUCUUUACUCACUAAAUGGAUUCAGACAAUUCAGAUAAUUACGAUCAAGAAUUUUGGGAGUUGGUUGAAAGAAGAAUUUAUGGACGACAGUGAUGAAGAACAACAACUUCAGAAUGAACGUCGAUCUGGAAGUUCCUCUAGGCCAAGAGAGAAAAACAACGGUAGAUCGAGGUCGUGAAGAAGGGCCAACAAUCGAUUAUUCAAUGACUAUCUCGAAAACCCAGUAUAAUAACAGAUGUUCAAUUCCGAAGAAGGUUCAGAUGCAAGACAUGUAUUUCUUCGAAUUGUAGAUGCCCUGGAAAUCAUGAUGAAUAUUUCCAAUGAGGGUCGAUGCAACUGGUAAAAUGAGUCUUUCACCAUUGCAGAAUAGUACAUUGCUAUUCGUUAUGCUGGCGUAUGGGUCUCCUGCUGACCUUGUAGACGAAUAUGUUCGAAUCGGUGAAAGCACUUCAAUUGGUGCUUAGAAAGAUUUGUUAAGGUGUCAAUGUUGUAUUGGCGCUGAGUAUUUGAGAAGCCUAACAACACUGAUGUUGAACAUCUUUUACAAAUGGAGAGUCACGUGGCUUUUCCAGAUAUGUGGGUUCCAUCGAUUGUAUGCAUUGGGUAUGAAAAAUUGUCCUGUUGCAUGGAAAGGACAAUUUUGUCGAGUGAUCAUGGUAAGCCCAUAAUCAUGCUUGAAGCAGUGGCAUCACAAGACUUAUGGAUUGGCAUGCUUUUUUUGGUAUUGCAGCAUAGUUAACAAACAGACAUUAUUGCUAAACCAAUCCAACGUUUAACGAUAUUUGGAAGGACGUGCUCCCAAUGCCGCAAUAUACAUAUCAAUGACACCAUAUAAUAUGGGUAUUAUUUAGCAGAUGGUAUAUACCGAGUGGGCUACAUUGUCAAGACUAUUUCCAAUGCCACAGGGAGAAAAAGAAAAAAUUAUUUGCUCAACAUCAAGAAUCGGCUAGAAAAGAUGUGGAGCGAGUAUUUGGAGUGCUUCAAUCUCGAUUUGCAAUUAUACGUGGCCAGCGCUGUGCCUGCACAUGGACACUCUCAAGCAUACCAUAUAUGCCUGCAUCAUAUUGCACAACAUGAUUGUGGAAGAUGAGCGACAUACAUAUGGAGGUAAUUUUGAUUACUCUAUGGAUAAUGUGGAUAUCAUAACUCAACACUGAAACAUUAGCGGUCCUCAUCCGAACUUGCAACAGACACAAAGAAAGAGCAAGUAUUCAAGAAACAAGUUCAUCGUAAACUUCAAGGAGAUCUAGUCGAAUAUAUUUGGGAACGUUAGGCAUGAAAUGAAAUGAAAUUUAAGUUUGAUUAAUUAUGUGAUGUUAUUUAUUUUAUUGUUUUUAAUUAUAUUCAUGUAUUUGAGAUAAUUUUAAUUAUCAUUUAAAAUUAUAAAUUUAAUUAAAUUUUUUAUUUUAUAUCAAAUUUAAUUUAAUAACACUAAAAUUAUUAUUUUAAUUAAUAUAAAAUUUAAUAUGAAUAAAAUAUUAAUAUAUAAAAUAAAGUUGUGAGAUCCAAUCUGAGUUCUUCAGAGUUGCACCAUUGGAGUGAAAAAAUAGUUGAGUUGCUUCAAGCUGACGUGGCUUAAUAGGUCCCACAAAGAACCCAAAAAUGGGUUCACGGUUGGAGACGCUCUUAUAAUUUGAGGUUGUUUCUUAAUUUGCGUAAAAGAUGUCAAACUUCUUAUAAUUUGGGAUGGAGGGGGUAAGAGUGUGCAGAAUAUAGAUAAUCAUGAUGGAAAAGUGAUUUACAAGCCAUACAGACUAAAUAUAAUCUAGAAAGUAACUCAAAAAAUACAAUCAAGAAAACAUGGUUAAGUUGCACAAUCUUCAUUUAUUUGAACUCUUAUGGCUUUCAGUUUCCUCAUGUGAAUCUCACUUGACAUUCAAAGGAUGAUAAACAAAACGCAACAGUAAAAGAUCAUCUUUUCUUCUCACCGAAAUUCCGAAUUGCUCUGUCAUGUCCAGUUCUUCACUUUUGGUUCCAAUUGGUAGCUUCCAGUCAAAAUGAUACAACAACAUUGCAAGGGUAAGGUCAAUAUUUCUCAAACCAAAUGUGCUCCCUGGGCAUAUUCUUCUUCCAGCACCAAAAGGAAUGUACUCAAAAUUUCAAUUGGUAGCUUCCAGUCAAAAUGAUACAACAACAUUGCAAGGGUAAGGUCAAUAUUUCUCAAACCAAAUGUGCUCCCUGGGCAUAUUCUUCUUCCAGCACCAAAAGGAAUGUACUCAAAAUUACUCCCUUUAUAGUCAAUAGUGCU
rnacentral:lncRNA from 1 species